GCUUGUAUAAAAAAACAAUAGAUUUUAACAUGUUUAAAAUCUUUGGAUGUCUUUGCUAUCCUAAUCUUAGGUGUGUUGCAAACACAUAAGUUAGAACCAAGGUCACUUCCUUGUGUUUUCUUAGGAUUUAGUAAGAAACAUAAAGGUUUUAAAUGCUAUCAUGUUAGUACGGGAAAGACCUACAUUUCAAGACAUGUCAUUUUCAAUGAGAGUUGUUUUCCAUAUUAAUUUAGGAGAAUUAACCAUUUAUACUGAUUGGUUUAAUCAUAGUAAAAAUAAUAAAAUAAGUACUGAAACAAAUACAAAAACAGAGGUAGAAGAAGAAAAUAUUUUUUCUGAUGAAGAUUGUCCUUUAAUUAUAAGCUCAAGAGAACCUGAUAUUGCAUCAAAAACAGAAAAUAUAAUUUAUGAUACAUCUAGUCUAGGAAAUCAAUCUAUUGAGACAAAUAUUAAUUAUUAAAAUAUAGGAUUCUUAGGGAAUAAUGAAAAUAAUAAUGUGUUUGAAAAUAUGUCAUCUGAUUUAGAACAAAAUGAGGAUAGUAGUGGAAAAAACAAUGAAAUUAGUACAAUUGAAAGCAUUCCUCAUGAUAAAAUAUAUUAAACAUCCUCAACAGAAAAUACCAAUUCUAGUAUAGAAUGUAUUGAAACUGGGAAGAUAGGAACAUUCAAGCCUAACCCUAAGUAUGCUCUGAGUAUAAAUAAACUUCCAGAAAUACCUAAAACUGUAAAAUCUGCAAUCAAAGAUGAAAAUUGGGUAAAAGCAAUACAAAGUGAACUAGACUCUCUAGAAGAGAAUAGGACAUGGUCUCUUGUACCAAGACCAAAAAAUGAAAAUAUUGUAGGUUGCAAGUGGGUAUUUAAAAUAAAGAUAAAAUUUGAUGGAAGUUUGGAUAGAUAUAAAGCUAGGUUAGUGGCCAAAGGCUAUAGUCAAGAAGAAGGGGUAGAUUAUUUUGACACAUUCAGUACUAUAAUUAAGCAUAGUUCAAUAAGGAUAAUAUUGAGUUUAGCCACAAUCUUGGAUUGGGGAGUAAUUCAAUUAGAUGUCAAAAAUGCCUUUUUGAAUGGUGAACUAGAUGUUAAUGUUUUCAUGGAACAAUCUCCAGAAUUUAAAGAUAAAAGUUUUUCUCAUCAUGUGUGCAAAUUGCACAAAUCUCUUUAUGGUUUGAAACAAGCUCCAAGAGCUUGGUUUAAGAAAUUUUGUGAAUUUAUGAUUAUUAAGAAUUUUGUAUCUAUAUAUUUUGAUCCUUCUUUGUUUGUAUAUAAGAAAAAUGUUGUGUGUGUAUUAGUACUAUUAUAUGUGGAUGAUAUUUUCAUAAUAGGGAAUGUAAAAAUAAAAUAAAGGAACUAACAAUAUUGCUAAAAAAAUGAAUUUAAAAUGCACAACCAUACAUGUGGAAAGGUACAAAGAUAGAAUGUUUUUAUGCCAAAAACAAUAUGUGUUAGACAUAUUAGAAGCUGCUGGUAUGACUGAUUGUCAACCAAUUAACACUCCUAUAGAGACAAAAAGAAAUAUUAGUGAAAAUCAAAAUUUAUUCCACAAUCCCACUUUAUAUAGUGGGAAAAUUACAAUACUUAACUCUAACAAGGCCUGAUAUCACCUUUCCAGUAAAUGUAGCAUCUCAUUUUAUGACCACACCCACUGAGGAUAGUUUUGCAAUUCUAAAAAGAAUCCUGAGGUACCUAAAAGGAACAAUAGAUUAUGGACUGAGAAUUCUAAGAGACUCAGACUUGAAUCUAAUAGCUUUCAGUGAUUCAGAUUAUGCUGGUUGUAGAGAGGAUAGAAGGUCCACAACAGGAUUCUGUACAUUGUUAGAAAAAAAUUGCAUAACAUGGAGUGCAAAAAAACAAGACACAGUGUCUAGAUCUAGAGCUGAAGCAGAGUAUAGGGCGAUGUCCAGCACUGCAGCAGAGAUUGUAUGGAUUAAUCAUGUGCUAGAUGAAUUAGGUAUUAAAAUUAAUCAUCCUUGCAUCUUAUAUUGUGACAAUAUGAGUGCUCUUCAUAUGACUAUACGUGAUAAAUUCCAUGCAAAAACAAAGCAUAUGGAAGUAGAUCACCAUUUUAUAAGAGAAAAAGUUGCUCUUGGAGAAAUAGUAACCAAGUAUGUUCCUUCAAAAGAACAACUAGCUGAUAUUUUCACUGAACCUCUGGGGAAAGAAGAUUUUUUUAAGCUCAGGGAUAGGCUAAGAGUUUGGAGAAAUCAAGAAAAUAGUUCUUAAGUAUGAGCUAAUGCAACAACAUUGGUUAAGUGUAUUAUGUGUGCUGUUUUUUUAGUAUUGCAUGUUUGAUUUCUUUAUAGAACUCUGUUUUUCUGUUUCUUUCUUGUUGUUUUCUCUUUGUUUUUGGUUGUGAUUCAUAUAAAAAAAAAAUCUUGAGGCACUUCUUUAUUACAGAGGAUUAUAAUUUGAAUGCAUGAUAAGUCAUAUUAUUUGAUGCUAAAGAUUAUGAUUGAAAACAAGUUCUGUUCUUUUAUUGAAAUACAUGAUAUGGUCAUCAAAGGUUUUUAAUUGUUUAAUGAAAUUUCAGUUUUAGGUAAUAACUGGUUGAAAUUAGAGACUGGUUUAAAGUUGAUUGCGGAAAUUAUUCUGCUUGAAUUAAUAUGGCAUGAGUUAAGAUGGUUAUUUUUAUUAUGACUGUUUAAUCAAAACUGCGUGUAAUAAUUUGUUGUUUGAAAGUUGUUGAAGUGUAUGGUUGCAGGGUUAGAAAAGAUGCUUGGAUUGGCUCUGUCUGUGAGUGUGAUUGUGUUGGCGGUAUAAUUUUUCCUCAGAAUGGGAAAGACCACAACUACUUAGAAAAAGAUACCAAAAGAGCACACCUGAGGUUUUUUCACCAGCCCAACAACUCAAUCACUCUCUAGUGAAGUGUAACUUUACUUUCGGACCUUAAAUUUGCAGGGAUGGAGAACUGAUUAUAUCAUGAUAAAGCUUGCAAAAAUCAUAAAUCUGAAGUAUGUGUAUUGCAUUACAAAUCAAGAUUCUUCAUUCAGAAUGUUAGAUUUGAGGAGGACUAUUAAAUAUAUAGUAUUAAUGGGUCUAUGUGUAAAUACACCAGUUUUGGUUUAGCUUAUAUAAAACUAAAAUGUGUAAAAAUAUUGUUAAGUUUUUAAAAUCUUUUUCUUUUAAUGAAAUAUCAUUUUUAGGAUUUUAGGGUUUUAAAAUCUCAUCUUCUUUUCUCUCUUGCGGCGGCUACUCUCCAUCCAAUCUUGGGUUUCUUUUCUCUCAAUCUUCAUUCAUCCUUCUUCUUGAAUUCUUUUUAUUUUUACGUACGGAAAUUACAACAUCUAUUUUUAGCUGAGUCAGGAUUAUAAGUUGUUAGGUGAUUUAGUCACUUUUUUACAUAGUUCUGACAACAGUAACUGACUAGCCAUUUGCAACAGUAAAAAAAAAUAAAGAAGAAAAUCAAUUCCAAUCAGGUAAGAUAGAGUCGAGCUUGGGUUAAGUGAAAUCUGAAAAUAAACCCAAAUCUAAAAAAACCUAAAUCGAUUUUCUCACACUUGCUUGAUCUUCACCUACUUGCUGUCAAACACUCAACAGAAGAUCUUUUAUCGGAGAUUUUAUUGUAGAGAAUUUUUUGGGGAGGAAAGAUGAAUUUUUUGAUGCGGGGGAGUAGCAAUCAAUCUCCGACUCCGGCAGCGGCGCCGAAGGUGCGGAAAUCGGUAGCGGCUCCGAUUCCGGAAUCAAAAGUGAAGAAGUCUUUGGAGGGAUUUUUUGCAGAAGAGGAUCCACGGGAGUAUACUGAAGGAAAGAAGGGGGGAUUUGGAAUUGGGGUGAGUAAUGCUGCGAAAAGAGGGAAAUUCUCCAUGGGUGGUUCUCAUGUCGAUGUGAUUGAAGAGGAAGGGUGGAUCUCUAUACUGAAGAGUACGCUGUUUUUGCUGUUCUUUUCUCUCUGUGGAGAAUAAAAAAGAGUUUUUUAUUUGCGUGUUUUGUUUUAUCCAAGCAUUAGAUUUUGUAACGAGGUUUAGUUGUUGUGAAUUUAGCCGCAGAAGGACUGCCUGAGGAUUGGAGUGAUGUGGUGGACGCGACUUUACUUCGAUCUAGUGAUCGUUCGUUUGUUUUUCCAGGUAUUUCAAUGUUCUAAGUUUCUAACACUUGGUAUAUUUUCUUCCAAUUUAUGAUUUUUUUUUACUGUGAAUUCAAUUGUGCUUUUUUUAACACUUAGAUUAGUGGAUGUGUAUUUAUUAUUCUUCGCCCUAAUAUUUCACUGCGUUGCUCUUCAUUUUACAAUUUUUACCCUUAUAUUCAAUACGUUUUUACUUUUGCAUAAUCACAUUCAUUUGAUAAAUUUUCUUUGCAGGGGAACAACUACGUAUCCUUGUAUAUUUAGCAACUUCGAAACAAGACAGUGAAGACACAGAGUUUAUUGAUUCAUCUAGAGUUUUAGAAGAGAUUUCAAGUGUAGAUGGAUCUUUAGAAAACGGGCAAACUAAUUUAAGGUCGAGACAGCUGGAUGUGGAUAUCGAUAAUGAGCAUAAUGGUGUGAAUGGAGUAGUGACAAGCAAGGAUACAUUCAAUUCUAACAUGGAUCUUUCUAAAGAUGAUACAUUGAUUCAAAUAGACCACCAUAAGCAGAAAACUGAAAGUUUGUUGGCAAGAUUUGAAAAGUCGUAUUAUUUUGUCAGAUUUGCUGAAUCAGACGAACCACUUUGGUCGAAAAAAAUGAAGGAUGAAUCAAAUGACAGUGGAUCAAAAAAUGUUUCCAGUGAGAUUUUUCUCAAUUCGAAUAUUGAUAGUGGCAGUUUUCAUGGUUGUACUUCUGGUGGGUUGUCCACAAGUUCUGCAAAAUGUCAUUCGUUGAGCAAUGGUGAUAUAGUGGUAUGUUUUUUGUUAUAAUUUACGAAUUUUGUCUUUUUUCUAAUUUUCAACUUAAUUUAUCUUUUAUUGAAAGAGUUUCUUCAAAACUUCAAUUCUUUUUCCUAAAUAUUAAAAUCCUUUUUAGCUUAUGAUUAUAUAUAGUCAUAAUUCAUUUUGAACUUUUAGAUCGUGUUUUGUACUUUUGCGUUUCUUUGAUAGUCUGUGUUUUUCCACUUGUUAGGUAUUAUAAAGUUAUUUUUCAUAAUAUUUAUUUGCUGUCAUUGCCAUCAUGUUCUUUAAGUAUUCAUUUUCACAAUUCUAUAAAGAUGAUUGUAUUUCUUAGAGUUAAUUAAAAACACCAGUCUCUCCUUUGGACUGAUGUGUCAUAAGAAGAGUUAUUGUCACCUUUUGGAGACAUCAACUAUGGAAGUAUGAGAGACUAACCUCUUGAGGCAACGGGUUUUGUUAUUAUAUAACUUAACUACAUAGCUAAUUGAAAUGAAUUUUUUUUCUCUUUUAUUCUUAAUUUCUUAUUCUCCAUUUAAUCAUAGGGUGAUGCCCUUCAUUUUUUUGGAGGAUUCCUAAUGAAAUUUAACUUUAUAAAAAAACGAUAUAUGCACAUAAUAGAUUACAUUUCAAUUUUUCAGCAUCAUUGCUUUUGAUACUCAUUUCUUCUUCUUCUUUUAUGAUUGAGAAAACAGGUGAUUUUACAUGUUAAUGUUGGAGUUGAUAGUAUAAAAGACUACGUUCUUGAAGUUCUCCAAUUUGUGAAAUCUGAAGUACGACAUCAUCCUUCUGAGCGCAGAAAAGUUCUUAAAUCUAAUAACGAUCCUAAUGGGGAACUUCUAAGAUGGGUUUUUCCUCUUGAUAAUUCCCUAGCUCCUCCUCCAGUCCCUCGAUCAAUUGUUCCGGUUCCAAGUUCUGUAGGUGGAUACAAUAGACCUUCAUUGUCAACCUCCUCUGGCUCACCACUUUUUUCUUUUUCUAAUUUUAGAAGUCACUCCAUGUCUUCACUGAACCAAAUUACAUCUUCCUCUUCUAGUCAUCAAUCCUACCCCAAGUCAAGAUCUGUUAGUGAAGAUUUUGAUCAUUUUUCAUCAGAGAAAUCGAUAGUGAAUCAUGACCUGGGAAUCGAAGGUCAUUUGUCUUUUCGAGGUGUUCGGUUAGAACCAGAACAGUUUUCUGUUCAAUGUGGGCUUGAAGGCGUCUACUUACCUGGUAAGAAGUGGAGGAAAAAGUUAGAAAUCAUCCAGCCUAUUGAAAUACAUUCCUUUACUGCUGACUGCAACACAGAAAACCUCCUUUGUGUUCAAAUAAAGGUGUGGAUUUUGUUAUUUCACUAUUUUUAUCAUAUACAUUAGGAUUUUAGUGCUACCUACUAAUGUUUUACAUGAUCUCCAGAAUAUAUGUCCAAUCCAUGUACCAGAUGCUGUAAUAUACUUGGAUACAAUAAAUGUUAUCUUUGAGGAAGCACCUAAGUCUGAUCUGCCUUUAUCUCUGCCAGUAUCAUGCAUUGAAGCAGGAAAUGAUCACAGUUUGCCAAAUCUCCCCCUCAGGUUAGUUCAAUGCUUUAAUUUCUCAUGUUUUAAAUAUCGCAUCUAAUUAAUUUGAAUAAAAAAAUACCUUUAAAGUUUAAGAUAAUAUCGAGCCAUGGUCCAUGAUAUAAUGAUAUGAUUGAUAUUUCUGAUGGUGUUCUAAUUGAUUGAAAAUUCUAUGUUUUUUAUUAUCAUUUCAUGUGAAAGUUGAUAAUUAAAAAUGUGAUAAUCCUUAUCUAUAAAUGAAAGUUGAAUCGUUGAUAAUAUUGUAAAAGAAUAUACCGAGUUUAUCUGGCCGUUAGUUUAUUGUAAAACUUGCUAGUUUCCUAUAGAAUCAAUUAAAUGUCUCAUUUAUCUAAGCAUAAUUCACGUAACUAUUUUUUUUUUCAUUUUAAUUAACAAAGACAGUUCAUUAUUUUAGCCAUUCUUUGAUUAUUUUCUUGGCAGGAGAGGUGAAGAACAUUCCUUUAUUUUGAAGCCAUCGGCACUGUUGGGAAGGGCAUUCAAGGACUUUGGUGAUAAAAGUCCUUUAAAAUCAAAUAUAACGAAGCUUGGCGGUGGAGGUGCUUUACAUUCGACGAAAUUUGCAGUUUUAGUGUCAUAUCGGUGCAACUACACAGGUGAUUGUCAAUAAUUAUCUGGUAUUUAUGGAAGGGAAACAACAUUAAACUUCAUAGUUUUAGUUUAAUUUUUCAAUGCAGAAUCAAAAAUGUUUUUCAAGAAAGCAACAAGUUGGCAGCCACGUGGUGACAUGGAUCUGAUGAUAUCUGUUACAUCGGAGAUGUCGGAACAGAAAGAAAUAGCUGAACCUGAAGGAGGGGCUCCACGGCUCCCUGUUCAGGUUUGUGCAAUCUUAUACAUGAUUCUUUCUUUGAAAUUUGAAAUGUUUUGUUUAACUUCUGAUACAAUUUAUAAAUCUUAUAAAUGUUUAACUUUUGAUACAAUACAUCUUAUAAAUGAUACAAUUUACAAAUUUUGCAGGUGUUAAAUCUUCAGGCUUCAAAUUUAACUUCUGAAGAUCUUACCUUAAUGAUUUUAGCACCAUCAUCAUUUACCAUGCUACCUUCAUUUGUUUCACUGAGCCCUUUUCCAACAUCUCCAGUGCCUCCCCUAGCUGAUUUUCCGGAGUUUAGGGAAAGAUUAGCUGAGAAAAGUGAGGGAAAUUCAUCGACCCUAAAGAAAAAUUCAUCAACGACUACACCAGGUAAUGAAAAAGAUGGUAAUAAUACUGGAAUAAAAUCAGCAACUUCUUUAAGCGUGGAUACAACUUCAAGAUUUGAUGUCGUCCCUGAUUCUAAUUUGGGAUCUACACAUUUGUGGUUGCAGAGUGAAGUUCCCUUAGGGUAAAUAAGUACAUAAUGAUAUCUAUAUCUAUAAAUUAGCAGCAAUUGUUAAUUUUUUUACAAAAAAUGCUCUAGCUACUGGGACUCAUAUCUUAUGCAAUUUUGUGGUCUUCUUCUAUCAGGUGCGUGCCUGCUCAAUCAAGUGCCACCAUUAAACUACAACUGCUUCCUUUGACUGAUGGGAUAAUUUCUCUAGACACUCUGCAAGUAAAAAUUCAAGAGAAAGGUACUAUUCUAGAUCUCAACAGUUUUUGUGCCACUUUGGCUGAUUAUGUCUAUUUUCAGAUAGCUUUUGUUGUGUUUUUUAGAUCAUAAUAUAACAUCAGUUUAUGAUUACAGUCUAAAUAUACAGUAAAAAAGAAACUAAUGGUAUGCUUUCUGACAAAGCAGGUGUUAUAUAUACACCAGGACAUUCUCUAAAGAUUCAUACAACUAGCAGCAUUGCAACUGCCAUUGCUUAGAACACACUUCACUGGAUUUCUCUUUGAUUUUCAGUGUAAGCUUCAUUCACGACUUUCCAAUUUCUCUUACAUGCCGAAGCAAAGUCCGGCUGCCUGAAGAAGAGCACACGGAAUCCAUGUGUAGACGACGACGUAUUUUCUCCCAGUGUGUACUUCUCUGGCCGUGAAUAGAAUGAUUUACCUCUCAUACACAACAAAAGUUGUUUGAGGUUUGAAGUAUUUAAAAUUUGAGUGUAUCUAUGUCCUUAUUUUCUAUUUAUUUUAUAAAAAAUCUCAGGAUUGAAUUAAUUGAAAGUUUGAAAUAUUGGAUUACAUGAUUGGAUUAAUUGAAAGUUUGAAAUAUUGGAUUACGUAAUUGAAUUAAGCAGUGAUUAGUCACAGGAAAGCAAGUCUUUGGUGGAGGAAGAAAGAAAUCAUGGUAAUGAGUUUUGGUCUUUACUUGAGGAAUUUAGAGCAACAAAUAAUGGGUAAUCAGAAUUUGCAGAAAAAUCUGAAAAACCCCUCUUCCCAUUUUUUGAUCACUUCAUCUCCCUCAUUAUAUAUAUAGUACUUACUGUCUUCCUUUGUGAGAACAAUAAAUGCGAAAAUGUGUGAAAAUCAAUGUAGACUUAUGCUUGAUGUUUUUAAAGGUAUCUAUUUGAUUUAAUGACUUACUAUUUAUAAUAAGAAAACUUUUCAUAUUCUUCUUAUUUAAUGAAAUUCAAACUCUAAGAUUUUUAAAAGUUCAAGAUUUAAGUCUCCAUGUAUGUCUAUUUUCAUUAAAUUUUGACUGUAAUAUAACCAGUGACAUAAUUUUAGGUCACAUCAUAAUAAAAUUUUUAAAAAAAUAUAUAUAUAAAAAGAUUCAAAUUCUGAACUUUCAGAAACCUUAACAGUUAUUAUUGUGAUUAGUUGUUCUAAUCUUCCUAUGUAUAAUGUAAACAUUUUUACAUUUUAUGGAAAGUUAUUCUUUCUUAUAAAAAAAAACUCUACCAGUGUUCCGUCUUACUCUCCCUUGUGGGCUGUGGCCCGUGGGCCUGUAAAUUAAAAUGAAAUUACGAAUUUAUUUCUUACCUAAAUGAAACUUUCAACCGUUUCAUUCCAUUUACUACAUCCAUCAAGAAAAAAACAAAACGAAAAAGAAAAUCACAAACAAAGCCACUCAUAAGUCAUAGUACUCAGUGUUUAGCUGUGCUGGGGAGAAGGACCUUUGGGCAUGCCAGGGCGGUGCGGUCCUCUUAAACCUCUUGCCUCCACGUUGAACAGAUUGCUAUUUUCGUCAUCCUGUCCAUUAGAGCCAACAGUAAACCAUGCUUCUUUUGAAAAAACAAAACAACAAACAUGUUUCUUACUUACCUGCAUAGAUCUGUUUUUGUUGUUGGGUUCAUCUUCUUUUUCUCCAUUCUCAUACCCUGUAAACAGACAAUAACCAACAUGAAAUCAAAGAAAAGAGAGCGGGUUGUUAGCUUCUAUGCUGGAAAAGUGUUUGCUUACCUUGGUUGGUUCUUCCAGGAGACUUCUUGCAAAAAUUUAAAACACCAAAAAAGUUUAGAAAAAUCUGCUUAAGCUGCUCGAGAAGUUUGGCCAUAGAUGAUAAGUUUACAAUACUUCUCUUCUCUUGAAUUCCACUGGUCAUGUGGUUUAUUUAUAUAGGUGCAGCAGAACCAUGAAUCAUCUCCAUGUGAGGAUACUAAAAAUGGAAUAAAUGCUGCUAUCCUUUUAUCAAAAAUAAAUAAAUAAAUUGUGGGCUGGCGCCUGGCAAGAACCAAGAAGCUAACUUUUAAUAUUUACCAUUAACCACUCUUUUUUUAACACUAAUUUAACCACACAUGGAAUCACAAUUUAGUAUCCACAUGAAAACUGAAGAGGUAAGCUAAUAAACUAAUAAUGCUUUAUUUAUUUAUUCAACUUCGACACUGGAGUUAUUAUUCUCAUCCAGUUCAUCAUUGCUAUCAUGUUUCCUUUUCCCCUUCCAAACAACAACCUGUUCUUUCUCAAAUGUCACUAGAUCACAGGGAACCAGGUUCUGCAAAAUGAACCAAACCAAACCAUGGGUAAUAGAUUCACAUGGAACUAAACUUGAUUCAUAACAGGAAAAGGAAAAAUAGAAAUAGAAAUUACUUACCCUAAGCUUAUAACCAAUUUUUCUGUAAUCGCUCUUUUCCAAGCCCUUGCAAUCAAUACAGACAAUGCCAUCAGUAAGAAAAGCAUAUCUUACCAUUACUACCAGAUUCCCGUAGUACCCAUUCUUGCUUGCAGGUUGGAUACAAUUAUUAGUUAUAAAUUAUCAUUCAAAUAUUAGUUAUAAAUAAAUAACUUAAUUCUCCAAUUAUCUCUUGAUCAUACUUGAUGAUUAUAUAUCUAAUGUAUUCAUUUAUCAGGAUAAAAAAGGUAGAAAAAGAAAUAAAAGAAUUCUACACGAAGGACUUAGUUGAAAUUAAUAAAUACUUAUGGGUUGUAAUAAAAUAGUUUUAGUUUUAUAAAUAACAUGUGUAAAAAUACAUUUCAAAUUAAUUCAAUUUGAUUCUUUACAUUUUACAAAAUCGUGUUUAAAGAUCAGUUUUUUCUGGUAACUGAUUUUCCCCAAAAUCUCCACCUAAAUCUCCUCGGCCUUUCGUCGACCACAUUGGGUCACCGUGACUUCAUAACAAUAUUAUGAUGAGUUCAGUAAGCCAAAGUUGUCUGAUGAAGCCAAUCAAUUGAUAACAUUACCAAGCUUAGUCAGUGAGGGAGCAGCAAGACCUCUUCUCCUCAAUUCUUUGGUUUCAUCAAAUGUCAGGCCAUCAAUGGUGGUUUUGAUCAACUUAGGAUAGAUUGGUUCUCGAGGUUUCCACAGCAUUAAUGGAAUCACAGGUCUUUUCUUGGGAUAAUAACGUCUUCUUCUGUAUAGUAUAAUCUGAGAACCUUAUCUGUAAAUUAUCUGACCAAAACUUUUCUCCUGAAAUCACAGAAUCAGUUGAAAAAUAGGGGUUUAAUUUACACACAUCAAAUGUCAAAGAAGCACCUUACCUCCAGCUGAGAACAAAUGUUUUCCAUGUUUACAGUCGAGACACCGAGACACUUAAUCCUCACAGCCUCGGUGUGCUUCCAGUUAUCAUGAAUGUCAAUCAACAUGUUGUGGGUAAAACCAUCUCUUCCUAAUAAUAACAAAAAAGACUUUCAUCAUAUGUUCUUCAUUUACUGCACAUCUGCGAUAGAAUGAUAGAUUUAAAUUCAUUUGCAUCAGUUUUCUGCUUAAAUACUUAAAUUACGUUCAGUUAAACAGAAUUUCAUACCGUAUAGAAAAGAGUAAGAAGAAAUAAUGUACCAAGAUUAAUCUGACGCUUUAUCGACCAAUAUCUUCUUCUCAGCUUCCGGAAGUGGUUCCCCAAGAAUGUCCUUCCUAGAUUUGAACUUUUUAACCCUCCCCGUCCCCUUUUCCGCCAUUUUCCAUUCCCCAUCCACUCUCCUCACAGUAGGAUCAACGACAGGGGCGCGCUCAAACCAGUCCAUAUACGAUCCACCCUUCCUGGCCCGAAAGGCGAGUAUUUUGGCUCACGUAGUCCACUCGGCUUGACUCCGGGGUUGCUUUCAGUGUAUCUGAAUCUGAAUUCGAAGGGGAGAUCGGAGUGGAUGACUUUUUCCCCAUCCCGGUCGAACGAUGACGGUGGACGGUACCGAGGCUUCAGAUGCUUCCUCUUCUCUGGUCUUCCGGUACUCACCUUCCUGUCGAGACUUGAUGGGGCGAUGGCGAUCGUCGGAGGCGGUAGGAAGUUGUAGCGUUUGAGAUUAGAAUGCGGCUCAGUGGAGAUUCGACGAAGGUGGAAGAAGAGGUUUAAGGUCUUGACAUGGCGGAACAUUUCUUGUUGAGUUCUUCUUCUUGUUCCAAUUAAAUGGAUUAUUUUAAAAAAUUUAUUUAAAACGAUUUGAUCUCGCCCUUUAGAUUAACAUCCAUCGGUUGUUAUUCAACACGAACUAAGAGGUCAAAUGAACGGUGCAAAAUCAAAGGAAAAUAGAUAAGAAAAUGGAGGGUUAGGAUUGAAUAUCUCAUAUAGUUUCUUCUUCUGAUAAGUAAUAAUUAACACAACUACUGAACUAAUCUAACUUAGUUUAGUGCGUUUAGCAUUGGACUGCAACAACCACUGAUGGCAAUCAUCAGCAUUGCCAUGAGGAUUGGCCAACUGCCAUUUGAGCAAUCUUUGUUGCCAUUCUCCAAUCUGCUUACCUUUAACUCCCAAAAUUUCCAUUAUAGCAUUCCCAUUGAGGAGUGGUUUGGUUUCCCAAAUGUUGUCCAUAUUCAGUUCUCCAGCAAUCAAUUUCUCUGCUCUCUUAAACAUUUCCACUUUACUUUCCACUUGAGAGCAAUCUGAUUGGAAAUCUUCGCUUGUCGGAUGUACCAGAGUUGAGAUCAGCAAGGCAAUCCUCCAGAAUUUUUUUAUUUUCCUAAGUAGCAAUCCGACUGAUAUCCUCUUUUUUACGUCUGGGGAUGCAUCAGCGAAUUCGUCACUUACAUCAGUUUCAACAAUUCUUGAAACCCAACCUGACUUCAAAGAAUCAAGCAGAUGACUAAAUCCUUCUGAAGUUUCGUGCAUGGUCGCCACGGUAUCAGCAUCACUUAUUUUGAGCUUAAGUGAAUUCCGAAAUAUGUGACUGCUCACGGGAAGCUUCUUUGAUUUCUUAUCUGUAAAUACCGAGUCUCUAAGAGGGAGAAAUAACCCACCAUACAAACAUAGUUUCCGUUCUUCAGUGCUAAAUGUUGAAUAACCAAUUGAUUGUAAAACAUCCCAUGCAACCUUCAUGUAUGUGACACAAGCUCUAUCGGAAUUUUCAGGUAUUGCUGGUUCUGUAUCAUUUGGAGGAGUAAAUACAAUCCAAAAUAACUCAAAUUCCUGUAUCCAUGAAAUUGCUUUGACUGGUUCAUUACCUCCGAUCAUUAAAUCUAUCUCGUGACCAAUGCGCUCUCUACUUAUUUUGUCUUUCAGAGCUGUUUUAACCAAAAUAUCGGCAGCAGCUGCUUUAAUCUCUUUGUCCAUUGCAAAAUCAAACCUAGCACCAAAUCGAACGGCUCGGAGAACUCUAAGAGGAUCUUCCAAAAAUGUGCUUUUUGCAGACAAUGGGGUAACAAUAACACCUUGCCUAAGAUCACUGAGACCUCUACCUGUAUAGUCCUCAAUUGACAUGGUGCUGAUGUUGUAGAAAAGGCUGUUGAUCGUUAGAUCUCUCCGCAAAGCAUCAUCUUUGGGGGAGCCAAACUCCAUCUCGGGAAUUCGACUGUCGUCGGAAUACUUCUCGGAUCUCAGAUUAACGAAAUCGAUCAUCAUAUUGAAAAUACUCAUCCGCGCAGUUUCUAAAUGUUUUGAUUGAUCAGGGUUGCUCUGGAUAACACAAAACCCUCGUUCGUUUGCUUCUACACCCAAAUACUCCUGAAUCUUCUCGCAGAACUGUUUCCCAUACAUGUCAUCCAGUGCGAUGUCGAUAUCAUAGCAUUCUCUUCCUAAAAGCUUGUCGCGAACCCAACCACCUGCAACACGAAGCUGUGUCGCCAGAUUGUGGUGUUGGACUACAUCAAUUAACUGCUGGAAGAUCUUCUCUUCUGUUUCAGUAAGUUUGAUUUUGUCCCCUCCAACCAUUGAUUGUGGCGAGGUUAAAGGCACUGGUGACAUAGCUUUUACCCUUCUUUGACUGCAAAAAUAUCCUCGCCUACAAAGAAAUUUGCAUCCAGAGUUCUUUUUUAAGCAGAAUUUGGAAGGAUGCAGAAAUGGAGAACGGAAAGGGGUUAGCUUGUUGACAACACCAUGUGCACGCAAUAUAAACAUCAAACUAACCUAUGCAUUAAGGAUACAGUGGAAAUAUCAGUAAAAAUCCAAAAAAAAAAUCAAACACGGUAGAAUGAUCAAUGGCUUAUCACUGUAUGAUAAAAAAAGAGUAAAAACGAAAACUUGUUAUUGAUUGGAUGAAGAAAAAUUCAAUAUGAUUUGCUAUUACAGGAAAUUCACAACAUUAUUAUUAGAAGAAAAAUUGACGGCUUCCUGACCAUUUUGGGAAACUAAAUCUGUCAAAAUACAACUAAAUACUAAAUAUCUGUUUAAAACCUCGAAAUAUCCUAAUCUCUGUUUAAUAAAGCAUCAUACUUCAUGAAAUUUAACGAAGAUAAAGCAUGGAAUUUAUAUUUAAUAAAACAUCCAUGAAAAUAUGAAAUCUGGGGGAAAAAAGAUGGAAUGAUAAUAGGAGAAAUAAAAUUCUGAAAAUGGAAUGAAGAAAUAAAAAACAACAACAUGAGAAAUGGAAUGAAGAUAACCGGAUGAAGAAGUCUUUCGAAAUCCGAUCGAUGGCAACCGUCCGGCAAUGAACACGUUGAGUUUCAGAGGAGAUGAAGAAAUCAAGUAACAGAAAUAGGAGGAAGCUGGAAUCGAUGGGUGAAAUUAGGGAUUUGAGAAUUUCAGAAUUGGAAAUAAUAACAUAUAGGGAAUUAAAUUAAUUAGGGAUUUAAGAUUUUAUGGAUUUGAAAAUAAGGUUUGAAAUAUUUAGAAUUUUAGGGGGUUAUUUAUAAAAAAAAAUCAUGUUUAAAGAAAGAACCCGGUUUUAUUUAAAUGGUUAUUUGGAUUGAAUUCGCUAAUUUUGACUUUGAUGGCGAUGGUCCAAACUGACGUCAUACUCCGGAAAUGCAACUCGUUACAUCAUCUGAAGCAACUCCACGCUCAGCUGACGCUAACCGGCGAGCUCCGACGAACACCGUCCGUCCGCGCCAAGUUUGUCGAGCACUGCGCAAUCUCAGUUUUCGGAAGCAUCGACUAUGCUCUGGCAAUCUUCAACCACACACCGACACGCAUCACUAAUGACUGGAACGCCGUCAUCCGUGGAUUCACACACGGCUUCUAUCCCCAACUUGCCAUUGAACACUUCUACCGAAUGAUACAGCACUCCUCCUCUCGCCCCGACGCGCUCACAUGCUCCUUCACACUCAAAGCCUGCGCACAGAUCUCCGCGAUGAUGGAGACGUCGCAAUUACAUUCCCAAGUCCGUCGUUUGGGUUUCUUGGCGGACGUCAUGUUGGGCACGACUCUUGUGGAUGCAUAUGCGAAAGCUGGUCGGCUCGGAGAUGCCGAGAAGGUAUUUGAGGAAAUGGGUGUGAAGGAUAUUGCCACUUGGAACGCUUUGAUAUGUGGGUUUGCAGUGGGGAGUCGGGCUGGUGACGUGGUUCGUCUUUUUACGAGAUUAAGAAAAUCUAAGGAUGUUCGUGGGGGAAAGCCUGAUGAUGUUACGGUCAUCGGUGCACUCUCAGCCUGUGCGCAGAUCGGCGCGGUGGCGGAAGGUGAGGCUGUUCGUGAGUAUGCAGUGAAGAACGGGUUGAUGAGGAGUUCCCGUGUGUGUAAUGCACUUAUCGACAUGUAUUCUAAGUGUGGGUAUGUUGAUAACGCCGUCGAGGUGUUUCGAUCCAUGCCGGAGAAAACCUUAGUUUCAUGGAACACUGUGAUAAUGGGUCUUGCAAUGCAUGGACAUGGAAUCGAUGCAGUCCAUGUUUUCGACGAAAUGCUCGCAACGGCCGUAAUUCGUCCAGACGCUGUGACUUAUCUUGCCGUCCUGUGUGGUUGCACCCACACCGGCCUGGUUGAAGAAGGUCUUCACAUCUUUAAUACUAUGAGCAUCCCACCCAACGUAAAACAUUACGGCGCCGUCGUCGACCUCCUCGGCCGCUCCGGUAGACUGUCGGAAGCGCACGCCAUGAUCACAUCGAUGCCACUAAAAACCGACGUGGUUCUUUGGCAGACACUUCUUGGAGCGUGCAAGACCCACGGAAACCUCAGUCUUGCCGAGAGUGUCUCCACCACACUAUUCAAACUCGGCUCCAAUUUAUGCGGCGAUUACGUCCUCCUCUCCAACGUCUACGCCAUGAAACAACGGUGGUUGGACGUCGGAAGGGUAAGGGACACCAUGCGUGAAAAGGACGUAAGGAAAAUUCCAGGUUUCAGCUUAACUGAUGUCGAUGGCACAACACACCGUUUUGUCAACGGCGGUAGAGAUCACGAGAGGUGGGUGGAGAUAUCGAGAUCGUUAGAUUUGAUUAGUAGCAAGAUAAGAGAAUUGGGAUAUGUUGCGGAUACAAGCAGUGUAUUGCAUGAUAUCGAGGAGCAGGAUAAGGAACUUGCAGUAUUUUACCAUAGUGAGAAAUUAGCUAUCGCAUUUGGGUUGAUAUCUAUAACGGAUCGAAGUUUGCCUAUUCGGGUUAAUAAGAACCUGCGGAUCUGCCCCGAUUGUCAUGUCCUGGCGAAACUCGUUUCUCAUGCGUUCGAUCGAGUGAUUGUGGUCAGAGAUCGCUCUAGAUUCCAUCGGUUUGAACGGGGGUUGUGCUCCUGUGGAGAUUAUUGGUGAUAUUUACAGAGAACUGAAAGUCAUAUUUGCUGAUCAAAUGACAGUAUCAAAGAAUGUUUCUAGUGCAGUUUUUAUGGUUGUACUUCUGGUGGGAUGUUCACAACUUCUGCAAUAUGUCAUUCCUUGAGCAAAGAUGAUAUAGUGGUAUGUUUUUUGCUAUAAUAAAUUGCAUUUAAAUUUAUCAGCAUCAUUGCUUUUGAUACUCAUUUCUUUUUUUCUUCUUAGAGCAGAAAAGUUCAUGAAUCUAACAACGAUCCUAAUGGGGGAUUUCUAAGAUGGGUUUUUCCUCUUGAUAAUUCCCUAGCUCCUCCUCCAGUGCCUCGAUCUGUUGCUCCGAUUCCAAGUUUUGUAAAUAGAUACAAUAGACCUUCAUUGUUACCCUCAUCUGGCUCACCACUUUUUUCUUUUUCAAAUUUUACAAGUCACUUCAUAUCUUCACUCAAUCAAAUUACAUGUUCCUCUUCUAGUCAUCAAUCCUAUCUCAAGUCUAGAUCUGUUAGUGAAGAUUUUGAUCAUUUUUAUCAGAGAAAUUAGUAGUGAAUCAUGACCUGGGAAUUGAAGGUCAUUUGUCUUUUCGAGGUGUUCAAUUAGAACCAGAACAGUUUUCUGUUCAAUGUGGGCUUGAAUGCGUCUACUUACCUGGUAAGAGGUGGACGAAAAUGUUAGAAAUCAUCCAGUCUAUGGAAAUACAUUCCUUUACAACACAGAAAACCUCCUGUGUGUUCGUUCAAGUAAAGGUGUGGAUUUUGUUAUUUCACUAUUUUUAUCAUAUACAUUAGGAUUUUAGUACUACCUACUAAUGUUUUACAUGUUCUCCAGAAUAUAUGUCCAAUCCAUGUACCACAUGCUAUAAUAUACUUGGAUACAAUAAAUGUUAUCUUUGAGGAAGCACCUAAGUCUGAUCUGCCUUUAUCUCUGCCAGUAUCAUGCAUUGAAGCAGGAAGUGAUCACAGUUUGCCAAAUCUCCCUCUCAGGUUGGUUCAAUGCUUUAAUUUCUCAUAUUUUAAAUAUCGCAUCUAAUUAAUUUGAAUAAAAAAACACCUUUAAAGUUUAAGAUAAUAUCGAGCCAUGGCCCAUUAUAUAAUGAUAUGAUUGAUAUUUCUGAUGGGGUUCUAAUUGAUUGAAAAUUCCAUGUUUUUUAUUAUCAUUUCAGGUGAAAGUUGAUAAUUAAAAAUUUGAUAAUCCUUACCUAUAAAUGAAAGUUGAAUCGUUGAUAAUAUUGUAAAAGAAUAUACCGAGUUUAUCUGGCCGUUAGUUUAUUGUAGAACUUGCUAGUUUCCUAUAGAAUCAAUUAAAUGUCUCAUUUAUCUAAGCAUAGUAACAUAAUUCACGUAACUAUUUUUUUUCAUUUUAAUUAACAAAGACGUCCAUCAUUUUAGCCGUUUUUUGAUUAUUUUCUUGGCAGGAGAGGUGAAGAACAUUCCUUUAUUUUGAAGCCAUCGGCACUGUUGGGAAGGGCAUUCAAGGACUUUGGUGAUAAAAGUCCUUUAAAAUCAAAUAUAACGAAGUUUGGCGGUGGAGGUGCUUUACAUUCGACGAAUUUUGCAGUUUUAGUGUCAUAUCGGUGCAACUACACAGGUGAUUGUCAAUACAUGAUAAUAACUAAUAAAUAAGAACUAUCAAUAAUUAUCUGGUAUUUAUGGAAGGAAAACGACAUCAAACUUCAUAGUUUUAGUUUAAUUUUUCAAUGCAGAAUCAUAAAUGUUUUUCAAGAAAACAACAAGUUAGCAGCCACAUGGUGACAUGAAUCUAAUGAUAUCUGUUACAUCAAAGAUGUCAGAACAGAAACAAAUAGCUGAACCUGAAGGAGGGGCUCCACGGCUCCCUGUUCAGGUUUGUGCAAUUUCAUGCAUGAUUUCUUUCUUUGAAAAUUGAAAUGUUUUGUUCAAAAUCCAUCUUAUGAAUGAUACCAUUUACAAUCAGAUGCUUUGUAUGAAUCUGAUCGCUCUAGACACUCUACAUGUAUAAAUUCAAGAGAAAGGUACAAUUCUAGAUCUCAGCAGUUUUUGUGCCACUUUGGUAACCAUUUCCAGUUAGCUUUUGUUGUAUUUUUUAGUUCAUAAUAUAACAUCAGUUUAUGAUUACAGUCUAAAUAUACAGUAAAAAAGAAACUAAUGGUAUGUUUUCUGGCAAAACAGGUGUUACACAUACACCAAGACAUUCUCUAAAAAUUCAUACAACUGGUAGCAUUGUAACUGCCAUUGCUUAGAACACACUUCACUGCAUUUCUCUUUGAUUUUCAGUGUAAGCUUCAUUCGUGACUUUUCAAUUUCUCUCCCAUGCCAAAGUAAAGUCCGGCUACCUGGUCUGGCCAACGACUACCUCUCCCAUUUCAUGCGUAGACGACGGAGUAUUCUCCUCCAUUGUGUGCUUCUCUGGCUGCGAAUAGAAUUAUUUACUUCCCUUAUACAACAGAAGUUGUUUGAGGUUUGAAGUAUUUAAAAUUUGAGUGUAUCUAUGUCCUUCUUAUCUUCUAUUUAUUUGUUAAAAAAUCUCAGGAUUGAAUUAAUUGAAAGUUUGAAAUAUUGGAUUACAUGAUUGAAUUAAACAGUGUUAGUCACAGGAAGGCAAGUCUUUAGGUGGAGGAAUUAUGCUGGUCUCCGGUGUGUUCCCGUUCUUCACAAUGAUCACCAUGGUCAUUCCCCAAUUCUGGUGCCGAUCCAAGUGGCAGUGCAUUAACCAAAUACCAGGGUUGUCGGCAACGAAGCGAAUGGCGGUCCAUCCAUUUUUUGGAACCCCAACGGUAUUCUGCUCCGGCGGAUCUACAAGAUUGUACCCACCGGGAUCCUUGUUUUCGUCGAAAUUACCAAAUCCCCAGCCGACGGUGAAGAAGGUUGUCCCAUGGAAGUGAAUAGGAUGGUUGUCACUAACAAGCACAUUGGUUCCCUGGAGAACAAUCUCUACACUGGUGUUGUACUCCAAUACCUUUACUCUAGUUCCAAAACCCGACGAGAGGAGAUUCUCCGGCAGGUUAUCUCCGGUGUAAUCAAAUUUCGUUGGUGGAUUAUCAGGGAAGUUUGAUUCGAAGACUCCGGUGAUGUGGCUGUAGUAAGCUUUCAAUAAGUCGACCUUCGUCGGAGUUACAAAGCUUAUAUUGUUUACACUGGCUGCAAAUCUACGUCCGAAAGGACCCUUGCAAUGUUUUUUGGCGACGGUGCAGUUUUGCAAGUUGACGGAAAAUGUGUAGAAAAGUCUCUGGUCAACUUGCAUCGGAAGAUGGUCGAUUCGGUGGGUAUCAUCAACAAGACUACGUAGACGACGAGUGAAGGCGGUAGCCGCUGGAGUGUCAUUCACUGCCGGAAGAUAACGUGGAAACAAAUUACUACCACCGUCGCUGUCGUAGUAUUCUAACACUGCUGUAGUAGUGGAAUGAUCGAACCCAGCACCAAAUGCAUCGUUAUAUGCCCUGGAAGCGACCAAGUAAACCAUCUCCGGCGAUUGAUUGGUCUCGACCAAAACGUCCAUCGUCUGGCCCGCCGUAAUCAUGAGAUAGCUCGUGAUAAAAGGUUUGGUGUAGCUUCCAUCUGUUCCAACGACUGUCAUCUUAUGACCAGCUAACGCCAAGAACAUAUUCUCAUCCAUCACAGCAUUUAUGAUCCGGAAAAGAUACCUUCUUCCUCGUUCAACCUUAAUUCUGGACAUUCCUUCUUGUUCCCCGCACGGAUAGAGAUGCCCCGGCCGGCCAUUGAUGGUGAAAGCAUCGGAGAGCGUCGGUUCACCACCGGUUAUAUUUUCAUUACCCGGUAUACCCAUCACGUCUCUCUUCCACCAUUCCCCAAGAAUAAGAGGGAAAUCGGCAUGGGGAGUAGGAAACGGGUAACGGUUGUUUUUGGGAAGAACGACAAUAGCACCGUGAACGGUCGCACGUGCCCAACUGUUGUGUGCGUGCCACCAUAUCGUACCUUCUUCGUCGGUGAAGUUCAGGGUGUACGUGAAGGUUUGGCCGGGACGUAUUGGGCAUUGAGUAAUGUACUCCGGCCCGUCCGACCAUGGGUUCCUGGGUUGCUUCAAUCCAUGCCAGUGAAGAGUGAUGUUGUGUCGAGCGUCGUUGUGAGCUUUGACGAUAACGGAAUCGCCUCUGUGCACGCGUAGAGUUGGACCGGGAAACUCGCCGUUGACGGUGAGUAUGUGUUUUGAUCUGCACAGUCGAGUGUAAGGAGAAGAUUUUACCUAGAAAGAAGAAGAAAAUUAAGAACACAGAAGAAGGAUAUAUUAUAAAAGAACCCUUGAUAAAUAUAAUAUUUGCAAAAUUGAAAAAGAGGAAGAAAGAAAUCACUCACAUAGAAAUCAUGGUAAUGAGUUUUGGUCUUUACUUGAGAAAUGUAGAGCAACAAAUGGGUAAUCAGAAUUUGCAGAAAAAUCUGGAAAAGAAAAACUCCUCUCCCCAUUUUCUGGUCACUUCAUCUCCCCUCGUUAAAAAUAUAUAUAGGAGCAGAUUCAAAUGAGAAACAGAAAAAUUUCAAUCUUCACCAUCCAUAGUUGAUGUAAUUUUUAAAUGACAUGAACAGAUAUAAUUAAAAUAACAUUUUUAAAUGAAAAUUAAAAGACAAGACUACAUUCUCAUGAAAUUUCUCAUAAUCUCUUUCUUUCUUUGUGAAAAUAAUAAAUGCGAAAAUGACUGAAAAUCUUCUAGAAUUAUGCUUGAUUUAGUGAUUUACAAUUUACCAUUUAUAAUAAGAAAACUUUUCAUAUUCCUCUCAUUCAAUGAAAUUCAAACUCUAAGAUUUCCAUGUAUAUUGAUUGCAAUAUAAUCAGUAAUAUGAUUUAAUGAUAUGUCACUCAAGUAUUUUAAUAAUUACUGUGAUAAAGUGAUAAAAUGAUAAAAUUUUAUGGAAAGUUUUAUAAUUUUUUUAAUAAAAUGAUAAGUCUAAACCCUUGUGGACUGUGCCUGUGAGCUUGAUAUUUUAAAUUAAAAUGAAAUUAUGAAUUUAUUUCUUACCUAAAUCAAACUUUCAACUGUUUCAUUGAUUCAUUCCAUUGACUCCAUCCAUCAAGAAAACAACAAAAUGAAAAAGAAAAUUACAAACAAAGCCAAUCAUAUGUCAUAAUAGCUCGGGAUAUGUUUAGUUGAUCUGAGUCGAAGGGCCUUUGGGCAUGCCAGGGCGAUGCGGUCCUCUUAAACCUCUUGCUUCCAAGUUGAACAGAUUGCUAUUCUCAUCCUGUUCGUUCAUUUAUUCACUGAUAGAGCCAACAGUAAACAUGUUUCUUUUGAAAAAACAAAAAUUGUUUAUCUUCUUUUUCUCCAUUCUCAUUUCUCAUACCCUGUAAACAGACAAUAACCAAUAUGAAAUCAAAGAGAAGAGAGGGUUGUUAGCUUCUAUGCUGGAAAAGUGUUUGCUUACCUGUUGGUUCUUCCAGAAGACUUCUUGCAAAAAUUGAAAACACCAAAUAGGAUUAGAAGUUUGACCAUAGAUAAUAUGUUUACAACAAUGCUCUUCUUCUCUUCUCUUGAACCCCACUGGUUUUGUGGUUUAUUUAUAUAGGUUCAGCAGAACCUUGAAUCAUCUCCAUGUGAGGAUGCUAUCUUUGAUCAAAAAAUAAAUCGUGGGCUGGCGCCUGGCAAGAGCCAAGAAGCCAACUUUUAAUAUUACCAUUAACCACUCUUUUUUUAAUACUAAUUUAAACACACAUGGAAUCACAAUUUAGUAUCCACAUGAAAACUGAAGAGGUAAGGUAAUAAACUAAUAAUGCUUUAUUUAUUUAUUCUACUUCGACACUGGAGUUAUUAUUCUCAUCUAGUUCAUCAUUGCUAUCAUGUUUCCUUUUCCCCUUCCAAACAACAACUUGUUCUUUCUCAAAUGUCACUAGAUCACAGGGAACCAGGUUCUGCAAAAUGAACCAAACCAAACCAUGGGUAAUAGAUUCACAUGGAACUAAACUUGAUUCAUAACAGGAAAAGGAGAAAUAGAAAUUAUCUUACCCUAAGCUUAUAACCAAUUUUUCUGUAAUCGCUCUUUUCCAAGCCCUUGCAAUCAAUACGAACAAUGUCAUCAGUGAGAAAAGCGUCUCUUACCAUUGCUACCAGAUUGCCAUAGUACCCAUUCUUACCUGCAGGUUGGAUACAAAUAUUAUGAUGAGUUCAGUAAGCCAAAGUUGUCUGAUGAAACCAUUCAAUUAAUAACAUUACCAAGCUUAGUCAGUGAGGGAGCAGCAAGGCCUCUUCUCCUUAAUUCUUUGGUUUCGUCAACUGUCAGGCCAUCAAUGGUGGUUUUGAUCAACUUAGGAUAGAUUGGUUCUCGAGGUUUCCACAGCAUUAAUGGAAUCACAGGUCUUUUCUUGGGAUAAUAGUGUCUUCCUCUGUAUAGUAUAAUCUGAGAACCUUGUCUGUAAAUUAUCUGACCAAAACUUUUCUCCUGAAAUCACAGAAUCAGUUGAAAAACAGGGAUGUAAUUUACACACCAAAGAAGCACCUUACCUCCAGCUGAGAACAGAUGUUUUCCAUGUCUACAGUCGGGACACCGAGACACUUGAUCCUCACAGCCUCGGUGUGCUUCCAGUUAUCAUGAAUGUCAAUCAACAUGUUGUGGGUAAAACCAUCUCUUCCUAAUAAUAGCAAAAAAGACAUUCAACCUAUGUUCAUUUACUGCACAUUUGCAGAUUCAUUCAUUCAUCAACAUAUGAAUGGCAGAUUGAAAUUCAUUUGCAUCAGUUUGCUUCUUAAAUAGUUAAAUUACGUUCAGUUAAACAGAAUUUCAUAUGGUAUAUAAAAGAGUAAGAAGAAGUAAUGUACCAAGAUUAAUCUGACGUUUAGUCCGAUUCCGUUGAGCUUUAUCAACCAAUAUCUUCUUCUCAGCUUCCGUAAGAGGUUCCCCAAGAAUGUCCUCCCUAGAUUUGAACUUUUUAACCCUCCCCGUCCCCUUUGCCGUCAUUGUCCCCUCCCCAUCCACUCUCCUCACAGUAGGAUCAACGACAGGGGCGCUCAAACCAGUCCAUACCCGAUCCACCCUUCCGGGCCCGAAAGGCGAGUACUUUGGCUCACGGAGUCCAAUCGGCUUGACUCCAGGAUUACUUUCAGUGUAGCUGAACCUGAAGUCGAAGGGGAGAUCGGAGUGGAUGACUUUUUCCCCAUCCCGGUCGAACGACGAAGGUGGACGGUACCGAGGCUUCAAAUGUUUCCUCUUCUCUGGUCUUCCGGUAGAUACCUGCCCGUCAAAAUUUGAUGGGGCGAGCGUUGGAGGCGGUACGAAGUUGUAGCGUUUGAGAUUAGAUCGCGGUUCAGUGGAGUCGAAUGUGGAAAUCCGACGGCGUUGGAAAAAGAGGUUUAGAGUCUUGACAUGGCGGAACAUUUCUUCUUGAGUUCUUUUUUCUAAGCUGGCGAUUUUUCAUAAAAUUAAAAGAUAAAUUUCAAACAAAAUCAUAAAAAUAAGUUCAAACGGGAAAAAAAAAAUUAAAAGGAUGUAGAACUUGGGAUAACUGCUAAACGGUAAAACAUAAUGUAGUCGCAACUGCUAAUCUAGAUCCCCUACAUUUCUUGUAAUUGCUCUUCGGGUCGCUGAGUAACUUCUUGGGUCAUACGUUGACUGGCAAUUGCGAUCAAUUUCUCUCACUCCAGACAUAUCAAUGAGACAUACCAACGUGCAAGUCUGCAAGCGUGUAUUGCUUGUUGCCCCUUCUAUUGCCAAAACAUCGAAUUCUGUGAGAAUUGUGUUGACAUUGGUUGUAUCUAAUGGAUAACCAUUAAAGCAAAUCGAUAUUUCAAAUGCAUUUUUGCAUGGGAAACUGAAUGAAAGAAUAAUAGUAUUAAAACCAUCCAGAUUUGUUGAUGAGAAAUUUCCAGACCAUGUGUGCUUGCUCCGAAAAGCUUUGUAUGGGCUCAAGCAAUCUUCCAGGAUGUGGUACACCAGAUUGAAGGAUUUUUUUUUGUCUCUAUCUCUUUCAAAGAAUGUUCUUCUGAUUCAUCAUUGUUCAUUCUUCUUCAGCAAAAUAUCAAGAUUUUCCUGUUUGUAUAUGUUGAUGACAUUGCUAUCACAGGAUCAAACAACAUCAGGAAAGCUAAUUUUCUCUCACAUAUAUAAAUCUGGAUUCUGAGACACCGAUUUUCUGUGAACACAAUGAUCUCUUGACUAAUCUGCAGGAGCUUCCUAGCAAAAUUCUUAUACCCUCGACAGAGGCGAAAAUUUAUUUUGGGAAAUUAAACGGUCAGAUAAAAUUUUGGGAAACUAAACUUGUCAAAUUACAACCAAAUACUAAUUGUCUGUUUAAAAAACCGAAAUAUCCUAAUCUCUGUUUAAUAAAGCAUUACACUUCAGCACAUUAGUAGGCCUCCUGAGGUAGUCCUUAAGGAGGUCAUUAAAGACAUCAGUCUCUUCUUUGAUUCAAUGUAUUGUCACCCUUUGGAGACAUCUAUAAUGGAAGUGUGGGAGACCAACCUCCUGAGGCAACGUAUCUAGUUACUAUAUAACUAGACUACAUAGCUAGUGGGAGAGAGUCAAUGAGUUUUUUUGCUCAUUUCUUUUUAUUUCUGUUUUUAUUUCUAUAUUCUAUUUUUUAUAUGGGCAUUACCUUUAUUUUUAUUAAUGAAAUUUAAUUGUUUAAAAAAAACAUCACACUUGAUGAAAUUUAAUAAAGAUAAAGCAUGAAAUUUGUAUUUAAUGAAACAUCCAUGAAAAAUGAAAUCUAGGAGGGGAAAUGGAAUGAUAAUAGGAGAAAUAAAAUUCUGAAAAUAGAAUGAAGAAAUAAAAACCAAUAACAGGAGAAAUGAAUGAAGAUAACCAGAUUAAGAAGUCUAGAAAUCUGAUUCCCAGCUUCUCGAAAUGAUCUUGUUCGAUGGUAUCCGUCCAGCGAUGAACGGAAAAGAGGGAGAAAUCGAGUAAGCGAAAUGGGAGGAAGCUGGAAUCGAUGGAUGGAAGUUAGAAAUUGGAUAUAACAUUUAGGGAUUUAAGAUUUAACGGGAUUUGAAAAUAAGGUUUAAAUUAUUUAGGGGGUUAUUUAAAAAAAACUAUGGAUACAUUAUUUUAAUCAGACCCCAAUUUUUUGGGGGCCCAAAGCCUUGGCUCAAAAGUCAGAAUUAGUUCGUAAGGCCCAUAAGAGUAUAUAACAUCGGACGGGAAAAUAUAUUUAGGAUUUCUCAGUUUCUCAGUUUCCCUCUUCUGAAAUCGUAACCCUAACCCUAACCUAUUUCUCCGACCUUGCGAUCUUCAACAACUAAACUGCCAUGGCCAUUGAAAAGAAGCGGAAGCUCCAACACGAGGAGAGCGAGCAUGGAUAUCAAGAACAUCAACUACAAGAGCAGGAGCAAGAACAUGAUCAAGGACUUGAGGAGGUGGAGCACAAUCAUGAGCUGAUGCCGGUGUUGGACCAUGACCAGUUAGAGUUGUAUGACGUCUCUAAUCCCCAUCCUCAGCAAGAAGGUACCUUAGUGGAAAUCGAGGGAUCUGAUCUCAAGAACGAGGAAGAGGAAGAAGAAGACGAGGACGAUAUUACGAAGCUACUCGAACCACUGUCUCGUGAACACCUGAUCGGCAUCAUAAACUUCGCCGCACAUACAGAACCUACGGUGGUCAAUGAGAUCUACCGUCUCGUCGACAUAGACCCUUCUUUUAGGAAAAUCUUUGUCCAUGGACUUAACUGGAGCACCACUGCCGAUGUGCUCCGAUCUAUCUUUUCAAAGCAUGGUGAUAUCGAAGACUGUCGUGUUGUGUCUGAUCGUAAUACUGGGAAGUCGAAAGGAUACGGGUUUGUGUUGUUUCGACACAGGAAAGAUGCGAAGAAAGCGUUGAAAUAUCCACAGAAUCUUAUCGAUGGAAGAAUGACUGCCUGUCAACUUGCUUCAGUUGGUCCGACUGCCCCACAGCAAGGUCAUAUGAUGAACCCAGUUGUGCAAAGCCAGGGUGGCGAGACGGCUCCCAGAAAGAUAUUUGUUGGGAACGUCCACACAGGUAUUGAUGGUACGAGAUUAUUGGAUUUCUUUUCCAAGUUUGGUGAGAUUGAGGAGGGUCCUCUUGGGUUUGAUAGGCAGACAGGAAAGCCAAAAGGAUUUGCUUUAUUUAUCUACAGGACAGUUGAGGGUGCGAAAAAGGCUUUGGAGGAGCCGAAUAAGGUUUUUGAAGGCCAGACUUUGUAUUGCCAAAGAGCCUCCGAGGGUCACAAAAAUAAGGUUUCUGCCUCUGGUAACUUAUCUAACCGGGCAGAUUUAGGUUUUGGUGGUAAUGCUGGUUAUAAUAUGGGUGGGAGUGGUAGGUAUAAUGUUUCUGGAGGCAGUGGAGCAUAUAAUGGUGGGAUGGACAUGGGAAUGUCUCAGGGAGUGAUGAAUGCUGGAUCUAUGCAGUAUGGGCAAGGUAUGCAGCAGGCUAAUACUGCUGCUCUUGCAAUGCUAGCUGCAGCUGGGCAGAACCCUGCAGCAUUUGGGGUUUCGCCUGCUUUUCUUGCAUCGUUUAAUCCUGCAUUAGCGGCUGCCAUGGGUGGUGGAAAUCCUCCAAUUGGAAUGCAGACUUCAAUGGCACCUCCAGGUUAUGGAAUGGGGAAUUCCACUUACCCAAAUGCUGUUUAUCAAGGUCCUCAACCAGCUGUUAAUCCUACGGGUGCUGCUUAUCAGGGUCCACAAAUAGGUCAAACUCCAUCGCCAAUGCCUCCAAUGGGUGGUGGUCAUAUGGGAGGCUAUCGCCCUCACUAAUGUAAGUAUCUUUCUUGUUUGAAUUUAUUUUCUCUCGCCUUUUGUUUCACAGAUUAAGUAAGUAGAUAUUGCAGGUGUUUUCUUGUUGUUGUUUCUUUUCCAAUAAUUUUCAUUCUGGUUGGUUUUCACAAUUUUAUCUUUCAGAUCUGUUUUACUUGUGGAUUUAAAGAUUCGACAUCUUUUCUAUCAAUAUGGGAAGACCUUGGGAUUGACCGUAUGUAUUCAGUAUUCCUGUCUGAUCGAAGGGAUCUUCUGUUUUUAAUGAUUUACUGUUUCCCGAGGUGUAUCUAUUUCUUGCUCGUCUUUUAUGAAAGAACUUUCAAGGGUAUUGCUAGAUUAAUUACAAGACUGAUCUAUAUUGUUAUCUCUGUAGUUUUUAUUGACACUGAUCAAUGCCUUUUUGCGAUUUACAUUUUUCUGCAUUGUUGUUUGUGUUGAGAGAAUAUUCAAGUUAUAAAAUCUGAAAAUUUCAUCGUUUAUUUACUUUUUAUUCUUUCAAUUGUCGUCUAUCUCCAUUUUUAUUCGCUAUUCCAAGGCCUGUGGUUGAUAUUUUCUGUUUUUAUUGAAAAUCACUAUCAUCUAUUAUCAUAAUAUACUUCCAUUUUAUUGGCUCCUGUGUAAAUAUAUAAAGUAAUAACUCUUGAGGCUCAAAGGGAAUUGCCACCUGUGCAGUAAUGACUACUGUAUAAUCCAUCAAUAUAUUUUUUGGAGCAUAAUUGAAGAUGUUACCAGAUUUGGGCUUCAAUUUCAUGGCAGUGACUGAAGAAGAAUGACGUCAUGGGUGAGUUAUUAACUAUAUAUAUUGCAAUCAUAUUUUUGAUUUAUUCGUUUUCUUUUGGGCUGUUCGCUUGUAUUCUCUUGGGUUGAUUCUUCCAUUAAACAGGUCAAAACCCAGUCAAUUUAUUCAGCAAUUGGCCAAUUGGGUUCGCCGAUUUCGUCCAGCAGUUGACGUAAGAUGCCACUCUGUCAAACUAACUCUUAUUUUUAUUGCGUUUUUUUUUAAUAUAGAAAAUCCCGACCCAUCAGGUCACACCACCAUAUCCAAAGAAUCUAAUUCUUCAUUAAACCUCAUAACAAUCUAAUUACCUUCCUAAAAUAGAAUCAUGUAAAAUUGAAUAAAAAAAUGAUCUCAAUCUUACUAUGUAUAACUUAGUUACUUUUGACGUCUUCUCUAUCGUUUCGUUCUCUCUUCGUAUCUUCCUUCCAUCCUUAUUUUUCUGGUUUUCUUAUUCAGUAGAUGGUUCUUCUGUUUGUUGCUCGACGGACCAUUCUGUCUUGCUUCGAAGAUCAGAUACGUUCAUUGCCGUCUUCAGGUAAUAAAUCAGAUUAAUUUUAGUUGUAAUUAAUUAAUCAAUGGUUAAUUUUGUAUUUGAUCAUUCAAUCUUUUCAGCAUCAACUUGGGUUUACAAUCAGUGAUUGUUCUUAUAAUGUUGAUGAAGAAAGUUAUAGGUGCAGUGAGUAAAGGAAUGCAGUGAACAAAAUGAAGUAGAUGAUGAUGAUAAUAAUGAUGAUGAUAACAAUGAUGAUGAUGAUAACAAUGAUGAUGAUAACAAUGAUGAUGAUAACAAUGAUGAUGAUGAUAACAAUGAUGAUGAUAACAAUGAUGAUGAUAACAAUGAUGAUGAUGACAAUGAUGGAGGAGAUGAUAAAGUUAUUGAAGUAGAAGAUGAACUUCAAGUCUUCAACCACUAAAGAAAAGGAUGAAGUGGUUAAAAAGGUUUUAUGAAUCUUGAAGAUUGAAAUGUUGGUUUUUAAUAUUUCCACCCAUUUUGAAUAAAAAUAUUAAUAAUAUUCGACGCUCGACAAAAUGGUUUUAAUUUACGAAUAUUUUUGUCUCGUUCUUGUAAAUUGCCAUACAAAUCUUUUCCAACGAACAACGACGUUUCUCCAAAGUCCAAAACAACAAGGCAUAAAACGGAGUAGAGGACGGGAGGGAAAGGGAAUGUACGUGAACAGUGAGCGAAAUUAGGUUUUUUUUUUUCCUUUUGAAAUUCUGGUCUUGCCAUUAGAUCUCUUCUUCCUCACGAUGGAAUCCCAGACGGAUCCGAUUGAAUCGACUUUACUCAUUGUUCCUGCUCCGAUUCGCGAACCAAACGAUGAUAUUGACCUCGAGGCCGGUCCGGAGGAGCAGAUUCAGUGUCGCAUAUGCCUCGAGACUGACGGUGAGAUCAUUGUUUCGUUUUUUUUGGUUUUGUUUGGAUAUACCGAUUGUUGUAGUUUCGAAAUUUGAUUGAUCGGUGGGGUGUCUCUCUUCUGCAGGUAGGGAUUUCAUUGCCCCUUGCAAGUGCAAAGGGAGUUCCAAGUAUGUGCACCGAGAGUGUCUCGAUCAAUGGAGAGCAAUAAAGGUACAUGUGUGUUACUGUGAUUUUUUUUUCCAUUCACCCUACUACCUCAUUUGCGCAUCUACAAGAUCACAUGUGUCUCAAGUCUGAUUCUUUUCUUCAGCCCUCCAGAAACCAAGAAUCGAUCUAUAAUGCAAACCACUACUAUUCUGAAUUCUCAUUUUAUUUCACUUACUAAAAUAGCAAAUGUUCGAUCGAACUAGUUUUCUCUCGUUUUCUUUAUGUUUGCCAUGUAAAUUUUGCAGGUUUAUACUUAUAUUGGAUGGUUUUAUUUAUUAAAAUCGUAUGGGAAUAGUUUCAAAAUUCUAUUCAUUAUUAUUAUUUUCUCCCUUUUUUAUCAUUUUCAUUUCUUUGUUGCCAAUUAUCCUUUACGUUUUUAAUUUUACCAUGUAUCUUUGAUUUUGGUUGGUUCUAUAAUCUAUAAAAUUGUGCAUAUGUAUUUUAGUGUAUGCAAUCUAACUGUGGUCAUGAAACUUUAUAUAUGCUGCAGGAGGGAUUUGCAUUUGCUCAUUGUACAACAUGCAAAGCUCCUUAUCAUUUACGAGUUCAUAUUCAAGCCAACAGAAAAUGGAGAACUUUGAAGUUCCGCUUCUUUGUUACUAGAGAUAUACUAUUCAUUUUUGCAGCUGUUCAAAUUGUAGGUUUGAAAGAAAGUGAUCAUAAUUCUCUGUGAAUUCAUGCAUUUAAGUAAAAUCAUGAUUCUUUUUUCUUCUUUUAAUUUCUGAAUUGAUGUUCAGGUGAUUUCGUCAUUGUCCUAUUUGGUAUAUUUCAUUGAUGGUCUUCAGCAAAACUGGCUAAAAACUUUCUGGGGCUUUGAAAAUGAUCUUAGUUUUUAUUAUAGUUGCGGUAAGAUAUUCCAAAAUUGAUAAAUUAGUUGUUCAUAGAAUAUUUACUUAUUAGAUGCAUACUUAAUUUUCCAGUUCUCCUUCAACUAAACAGCAAUGCCUACUAAAUUAAACGGCAAUGUCAUUGUUUUUCUGUAUCUUUAUGGAUUCUAAGUUUUUAUAUUGUUAUUGGUUUUCAUGGUUUAAACUUUUUUUGUUAUCUGGUAGAUUGCCACUUUUUCCAUUCUGAACAGUCAUUUACUGAUAAACCUGUAGGAGCUCUACUCUUUUUUGCUUUGCUGGGAUUGUCGGGAUGCUUUAUUACAUGCUAUGACAGACGUGUGCGCAAUGAUCUCGCUCAGCCUUGUCGAGAAUUGUGUAUGUGUUGUUGCCAUCCUGGGUAAUAUCUGCGAAUAUUAGUUGUUGUUUUUACCCAAACCCAAAUCACAUAGUUUUUAUCAUUGUUGAAUUUGUUUUUUUGGCUUCAUAAGGUUUAGCAAUGGACACAUAGAUCAAUCUACAUACAUAACAUCUUUGCCAAACUAUUUUAUCACUAGUGAUGGAUGGACGUUUAUGUUCUUCAUCUUGCAGUGUCUGUGCAGACUGCCAUCUACCUGGGACACUCUGUAUGUGGACUGAUUGUACCACAUGCUUUGAGGGUUGUGGCAGUACAAUAGGUGAAUGUAGUUGCUUAACAGGAGCUGGUGAAGCCGGUCUUCCUCUGAUGUUGAUAAUGGGAUUGAUUGUGUUAGGCCUAUUCACCAUCAUCGGUAUUUUCUAUAGCGUUCUCGUGGCUACAAUGGUUGGACAGAGAAUCUGGCAGAGACAUUAUCAUAUACUUGCCAAAAGAAUGCUGACGAAAGUGAGUUCAUCUUGAAAUUUUCUCAUGUAAAAAAAAACGUGUACAAUUUGGCUGGUUCUUUCUUAUUGAUGACUGACGACGAUGAUGGUCAGGAAUAUGUGGUGGAGGACGUCGAUGGUGAAAUGACAGACUCUGAUUGGUGCCCGCCUCCGCUAGCCUCCGAACAUAUCCAGCAACUAAAGACACUUGGGCUUUUGUAAUAUACACAAUGUGUUAAAAAUAUCUUUAAAUUUACAAGAUGGUAUCAUGUUAUCAUGUCAUCGAGGUCUUGUGGAGGUUUGGCCUUUAUUGGUAUUUAGCCAUUUGGGGAGGAUUUUCUUGGGUUCUUAAAAAUAAAAGUGUGUUAGAUAAAGAUAUCAGAUUCAGGUAGGUAUGCCCCAAACUAUACCUAUUUUUUAUAUACAGUUAAUACCAGUGUAUCGCUUGAGACAUUACAGUUGUUUGAGAUGUAAUUAAUUUUUUUUCUAGAUAUUUAUACAUGUAAUCAAAUCUGAAUAAUUGGUGGAUCCAGGAUGUUUCUUUGUGAAGAUGAUGCUGGCAGACAAUCAGGUAUAUAUUUUAGCUGUUAAUGUAAAUGUUCAGCAACUGUUCUCUAGAAUCUGAAGGUGGUAAUUUCAUUUCAGAAGAGCAGGAUGAUUAACUUCUUCUAGGUCCGUUUGCAUCUACCCAGGUUUGGAACAAAGAACAAGUGAACAGAGGUAAAGAAAAGUAAUGAUAUUUUAUAUUUAUGAUGGAGUAGAAGAAGGAAACAGAAGAGAACAAAACGUAGAAUUGCAGCGGGGGUUUACUUUACAGAUUACACCUCCUUGUGGGUUUUUAUUAAUUAUUCUUUUAGGAAGUAGAAAUCUAGAAGUCAUCCUCGUCUGUCUGGUACAUCUUCAUUAACUGAGAACAACCAGACAUGGGAGUAUAGGUCUGAAACCCCAUGUUGUUUGCAAAUCUCUUGAUUGACGGAAUACCGUCGUUGUGCGUUAGAACAACCUGCGCUCUCUCACGACCUUUGAUCACUUGGGAGCACUCAUUCUCAGGACUCUCCAUGAUCAAAGCCUCGCAGAUGUCAUUUUGAUGGUCGUUACUCACUGGAAUGUUAUACGUUCCAGUUUCAUCACUCACACCUUGUGCAGAAUAAGUCAAUUUCGCCGUCGUCCUUUCACGACAUUCCACCUUCACGUUCGCACCUGUAAAGUGUAAACCAAACCAAAAUAAAAUAACAAAAACCUAGAUAGAUAGAUAGAUAGAUAGAUAGAUAGAUCUGAGUCGCCGUCUUUUUUUUCUUCUUCUCUAGCUUUACCUUUCAGGUACUUUGUGGCGGCUGUUUCGAACCCAGCCCGACAGUUGUCACAGAAGACACGACCUUGCACGACGAACUCGUCCUUGCCGGCGAGUAGCCUCGAUCCAGAAACAAAGGAGGAGAGAAGGAGCAAUGCUCCGAUGCAGUAGAAAAUUGAGCAGCUCAUGGUUUACAAGUGGAGAGACUGAGGACUGAGAGUGAAUGUGUAUAAAUAAAUUGAAGGAGAGAUGGUGGUUGUUGAGUACAGAUGGAUCCUGGUGAAACCAUAGAUAGACGGAUAGGUUCGAGUGAAACAUUUUCCAUUGAUGCUUUCUUUCAUCAUUGAAACUUAGAAUUGGCGUUGUCGGUGGAUUGCAUAAAUGAGACUCAGCCUUACAUUGAGAUCAGUGACAUUUAAGACUUACAUGUGCUCUUCACUGCUACUUGUCAAGUUGUCAAGUUAUCAUCACAUGAGGAGAAAAACCUAACCUUAAACGAUAAUUAACAUGUUAGGGUAAAGUUCAAACAAACAUCCAAACCAUAUCUAACUGGGUAACUGAUUUGUCCUCUUUUUUUUUUGUUAAAGAUGUAUUUCUUGUAUGGGCCUGACUUAUAAGACUGAUAGUCUAGGUCCAUGUGUAAUUUAGACUCAGAGGUUUGGUUUUGAAUUUUGAUCAUUGGUUAGUUGAAUUUGUUGGUCCAUUUAUAUAGUAUAAGGGUUGUAUUCAUAAUAGAAGUACAUUUAUAUUGUAUAAAUAGAAGGUAAAGAAUAUUCUAAGAUUAAGUUGAAUGUUUAUUUUUUUGUUUUAGCAUUGUUGAAUAGAGUAAUUAUAGCGAAGUUAAAAUACGUUAAAUUAAUCAUAUUUAUUAGAUCGAUUUUUCAUCGUACAUGUGUUUACUACACGAAAACUGACUUUGAAUGAUAGAUCAAUAAUGGGGGAAAUCUCCAAUUUUUUCCCAGGUCAAAAAUAGAGGAAUUUCCAUCGUUUUUAGGAGAUUUCCGUCAUUUUUAGAAAUUACCAUAAUAUUUUUUUUAAAUGAUGGAAAAUAUUAUGUAAAAAUGAGAAUUUCCGUCAUUUUUUCCUAUCUUAUAUUUUACAAGACAUUAUUUUACGUCGUACAUGUGUUAGUGUCUUCUGUAAUAUAUUAUUUUAGUCAUUAAAUUAAAUAUUAAUGGAUAAUAAAGUGUGUCUUUGGAGAAUAACAGAGUUUAUUUCUUUGUUUACUUACUUCUAGCUUCUUCUAUUAUGAUUGUAACCAACCAUGUUGAUCAUCUUCUUCCACCAUCUACCUAAAUCAAUUUCGUCUUUAUUAUGUUAGAUCAAUAUAUUUAACUUUAUCAUUUAUUUUUCAAUUACUAAUAUUUAUUAGCUGUUCCAUAAAUAUCCCAACAAGGCAAAAAUUGGUAUUGGUAUAUAUUUUCAUCACCAACCAAUGAUUUAAUUAGAUUUUACAACUUUAUAUUAAUUGCUUCAUUAAGACAAUUGAAUCAUCGAUCACCAUUUCAAUUGACACAGGUAAAUUAACUCAACUGACCACAAUAAUUAUUAAAAUUUCUGAAAUCCAGAGUUUAAGUCUCGGCGAUUUUGUUCGAUAGUAUAUUAUUUGAUUCGGGUGUAUCAUCGGAUAUUUUUAUAUUUUGUGAAAAAAGGUACUCUCAGUUAUAAAAAUAUAAUAAAAAGUGUGAUGAAAAUAAUAAUAAGGAAAUUAGUUAAAACCACCAUUAAUUAAAGUUUAUGAUGAUCCAAUGUUCAGUUUUGUUAAUUAGGUACUAAUUAAUACCCUUUAUUAUCAAUUAAAAUAUAAAUAAAUAUACACAGUAGUAUUUAGUUGUGUCGUAUAGUGUGAAUGUUAUAUGUGUCAAGUUGAUCAUGUUUAUUAAUAGAUUGACUUUAAUCUAAUCCUCUGAGCUACAAGCUCCACCCCUAACCACCAGAUCCGUUCUCAGCCUUCAAUAUAGAUUUCCGAUGUAAAAGCGCAUUUCUCUCUAUAAGAACAAGAAUAGUGCGUUCCGAGGUGUGAAGUAGGCCAGAAGAGAUGUCAUAAUUGGGGUUUUGAAUAAAACGACUUUUGUAUGUGUUAGUGUCUUGUAAAAUGCAUUAUUUUAACCAUUGAAUUAAAUACUAAUCGACACGAUUUGAUACGCACAACGACGUAUUUAAGGUACGGCGAGAAUUACAUAUAAAUGCGUCCAAAAUAUACAAUAGCCAUAUAAUAAAUAGUUGUGAAAAUUACAUAUACAGCGAGAAUCAAUAUAUAAAAUCAUCAAUCUUCAACAAUGUAAUUAAUAGUUAUUAUGAUUGUCUCACUGUUAACUAUCUCUAAUUAAUUCUUUUCAUAAUCACUUCCUCCAUCCAGGAAUGCAUUUUCCUUUCACGAUUUUGGAUUCAAUUUUGUUAUCAUCUUCCUCCGAAAUCAGACCAUGGUUGCCGCCGUUGCACUCCGCCGGUGCCAAGUUAUGGGGAGUCACCGACUCUACUAUAAUCCCACUGAAACGUGGAAUAUUCUCAUCCAUGGAAUAUUCACUUCCCUUGUACAAACUCCUCGCAUUUUUAACCUCACGGGAGUUGAUGUUGCUGCAGAAAAAAGAAGAAGAAUGCGCCGACGAACCACAUGCAAUGAGUUGCAGAAGAAGCGAUGGAGAUCUCACUGUGGAAAAGGAACAUUUCAGGGUACUACUGUCGUUGAUUGGAUCGGCAUCUGCUUUAUUAUUCACAAUCUUAAUAGUGGCUCCAGAUUUCUCCGACGAGGACGAGGAGGAAAAUGACAAGUUUGGUGGGGAGACGUCGAGUUCUUCUGUCGACACACCGCGAGAACACUGAGUUGGUGGUGUCUUCUCUCCCAUCACUUCUCCAUCUCUUCCAUGUGGAGAUGGAAGAAGCUUGCAUUGAUCAUCUCUCCUUGUCCUGACUGCCAAAAGCUCUAUCUUCUGCAGCUCCCCGGAGUACAUAGAUUCCACGUCGGCGAUCUCAGAACCUUUCAGGAUAUACUCCACACCAUCUGUCGGAUAAAUAACGUCGUCCUCUUCAAUAUCAUUCCACACAUACCCAUUCUUGUACGUUCUUGAUUCAAUCAGUAACCAAAAAAAAAUCAGAAUCCAAACCCUAAUCAUAAUUAAAAAAGAUUACUACCUACUCUAAUCACCUCUUAAAUGACCAUGAAUAGAGAGAAGCCACAGCUUUUCCCCGCAGCACUCUCAGCUUAUCAAUCACAUCUGCACAUUUUCCGAUCAGUGAAGAACAACAACAACAUAGAACUGAUAGAAGAGAUCGAUAUAUAUAUAUAUAUAUAUACGGCGCCAGAGCCGGAGCCGGGGAGGUUAAUCUAUAUAUAUUAAUUUACCUCUGAGAACCAAGCUGGUUUGGUUUGGGAGAAGAGAAACCUCCAUGAAAUGUGGGUGUUGGAGCUGCCCAUUUCUGGAUAAGUAAUAUAUGACCUGCACCUUCUUCUUGAGCUUGCUACACGAGAACUGCUCUUCAUCUCCGUCGAAGCUUUUCGUCUCCAUCCUCCUCCUCCUCCUCCGCCCUCCGCCGGGGAUCUCCAUUGAACUAUGUACAGCUAGCUAGCUUCUGACUAUAAUUAGCUAGACAGUGAGAGAAAACGGCCAAUAAUUUAUUAAGGAAUUUAACUUGCAUCAAUGGUAUGGUAGGGGUCCGUCCGUCUAUGUGAAAAAGCUCAGCUAUCACCUAUGGAGAUGACAGUAGUUCAGUAAAGACUAAAGACCGACAAAAAAAAACUGUACAAAUUAUUGUUGGGAAUCUUGUGAUCCAGGGUACUUGUUAUACCACUCAUGGGUUAAUUAAUAACAUUCGUUUUAAAGGUUUAGGGUUUUACAAGGUUUGGGGAUUUAUGGUUUAAGAUUUGGAAUUUGGGUUUGGGAUUUAAUUUAGGUUUGGGGUUUAGGAUUGGGAAUUUAGGGAUUAGGUUUUUUUUUUGGAAUGGUUAUGAAAUUAAUUUGGUGGUAGAAUUCCGUCACACAAUUUUCAAACAACCGUCACCAUCGUUUCGCUUUCUGGUGACCAUGCAUGGUUUAUCAGUCACCAAAAGUCUGUUAUAAAAGCAGAGUAAUUAUCAGGUGUGCCGAAGUCAAAAUGUAUCAAAAUGCGUCAAAUUAAUCAUGUCGAUCCAUUAGAUAUCGAUUUUUCGUUGUACAUGUAUUAGUGUAUUCUACAGUACAUUAUUUUGUGUUGUACAUGUAUUAGUGUAUUCUACAGUACAUUAUUUUGUGUUGUACAUGUGUUAGUGUCUUGUGCAGUACAUUAUUUUUUAACCAUUGGAUUAAAUAUUAAUGGAUACGAUUCGAUAGCGUACAGUGACACAUUCAAAGUACACGACACACCUGUAGUGCGCCCUAUAAAAGCAUUACAAAAAAAUCUAGAUGUGUAAAAUAUUAACCAAAAUUUCGUCAAUAUUAUAGCUUGGAUUGUCAGAAAUUCCAUAAUCCGUCCCUAAUCAUGUAUAGGAAAAUUAUUACACAAAAAAAUAACAAGACAUUUAGAGAGGGAUUUUCGAAGAAAACGUUGCUAAUUAAAAAAGACGGGGACGGCUUAUGAGACAGUCGUUCCUAAUCACGUAGAAAAUAUAUAAAUUAGAGAUGACCUCUUUAAGUCGUGUCUAAGAAUGCAAAAAAUAUUCAGUGUUUGACAAACUGUUCGACUCGAUUAGUUCAGAUCGAUUAGUUAAAAGAUUAAUCGAACUCAAUAUAAAAAUUGAAUUUAUAAGGUGUUUAUGUAAUUCAGUUCAGACUAAGGAUGAAUGAAAGCAACUAAUCCAGUAAUCUGAAUUUUAUUACAGAAUUCUAAUUCUUGGGGGAAAACGAAUUGAAUUCGGUAAAAUUGAAUCACUAUAGAAUUUAUACACAAGAUGAUAGAAUAGCUGUCUUUUAGGGAGUUUCAAAUCUAUUCAGAUUUCAGUGAAGUCCAAGAUAUUCUGCAUUGGGUAAAAUUCAGCAAUGUUCUUACUCAAGAUGAACGAUUGAAUUUAUAAGAAGAAAGAACUGAAUUGAAAAGUGUAAUUGAAUUAAAAGAAAGAAAGAACAGGAUAGCUGGACAGGACAGAAUUAAAAUAAAUGGUAUUGAACAAUUGGGUUAAGUAAAAGAAAUAUCAGAACUGAAACUAGUAGUUGAAUUAAAAGAUAGAAAGGAAAACAGGACUAUCCUUUCGAAACGUUUCCAAGUCUUCAUCAGUGACAUUGGUUGGGUGUUCCAUGGUAUCAUCAUCGGGAGUCAACGUCGACGAUGAGGUUCUGAUACCAACUACUCAUCGGGUCGAAAAUAAUUAAUCGCCCAUACUUUACCCAAAGUUGUCGGAUCUAAAGUUUUAUCGACCGUUGAUUCUAAAUACCGUUUACCGUUUAGAAACCGUUGAUUCUAAAAACCUAAACCAAUGGGCGGUUUUGAAUCUACAAAACCAAUGAUUGUAAUCAAACUUGACGGCGCCACUUCUAGUUCACGGGGUUUCUAAUUUGGGUGUAAAUUGCAAAUUCUUCCCGGUAUUCUUCUAAUUAUUUAGUUUUGGUCCUUCACCUACUCACUUUUGGGACUUAAGGUGUAUUAGUUAUCUAAUUCACCUCAUCAAUGUAAAUUUUGACCAUUUUGUAGCGGAGUGAAUGCGUAGAAUGGGCUCGAUCUUGGGCUUCUGGGUAGAAGACUCACAAUACGGACUCGUUUCAGACACGUCGUACCUUAAAUGUACCGUCUUGCGUCAUCAAAUCAUGUUCAUUGAUGUUUAAUUGAAUUAGACACUAACACAUGUACGGCGUAAAAUAAUGUACUGUAAAAGACACUAACACAAAAGUCGAUUUAAUGAAUAUGAUUAAUUUAAUUUUGACACAUUUUAAUUUCACACCCCUGAUAAUUACUUUAAUUAUUUAAUUCACCUUAUUAAUGUAAAUUUUGACCACAUUGUAACGGAGUGAAUGCGUAGAAUGGGCUCGAUCUUGGGCUUCUGGGCCUGAAGACACAAUAUCUAUGAGCGUGACUUUUUUUAAGUAUAUAUUAUAAAAUCUUAUGAAAAUGAAAUUUCUUAACGUCUUAAAACUAGAUCAAUGCAUCUCUCACCGUUCAAUUACCAUAAUGCAAUCGCAAUCGUUAAAACUAACCCAUCAAGGGACCCACAGCCCUCGUAUGUCAAAGACGUUAAAUCCAAAUAUCAUUCAACGGUCCAGAUUCCUUUUCACGUCUAUUUUUUCUUCUCUUUUUCUUUUUAAUUCUCUAACGAAAAUAUGGCAUAUAAGUAUGCAUAAAUCAUUGGGGAGCCUAAAAUUGAGCUAGCUAGACACCCCCCCUCCAUGUCGUCGUUCACCCAAAAGCGCCGCUCUUCUUCUAUGACGAGGACUAAGAGCGCCAAGGGGUUCGACUUCAACAAAGGUUUCUCUGAAGACACGCUUCAGUCGCAGGAGAAAAGCGAAGAGCCGGCGAUGGUGAGAAGAAGUGUGUGGGGUGGAUCGGAACCAUCGAACAUGAACUUUGCAUCUCAGCUGACGCCUUUUCCAAGGAAACCGAGGAGGAGCUCUGUCGAAUUCGCAGAUGAUUUGAAGAUCUGUGGAUUUUGUAGGGGUGAGAUUGGGGCGGGAAAAGAUAUCUUCAUGUAUAGGUAAUUCGUAUGUGGUUCGGAUUAACGAUCUUAUCCGUUCACAUCUGAUCUGUUUAAGUCUGCUCAGGGGCGAAGUGGGUUUUUGUAGCAUGGAGUGUCGAGAAGAACGUAUGACACUAGACGAAAUAAAAGAAAAGGAGAAGCUAAAGUCGUCGAGGUUGGCUUCAAAAGCGAAGAACGACGUCGAGCACAAAUUGUCAUCUGCUAAGCAGAAUAUCAUCUCGGUAUCUGAUGUACCAACGCCGGUUGCUGGCGGUAAAAUUAUAGUACCGUUAUCUAUCGCUUAAUCCGAUCCAUGAUCCAUUUUGCCAUCUACUACAAUCUAAACCAUUCAUUUUCCUUCUCAUUCUCAAAAUGAAUUGCAAUAUGUGGUUUUAUUUAUUUUAUAAGCCCAAGAUUUAUAAAUUGUAAUAUAACUCUUAUUAGGGGUUAGAACGACACAGACCAGGUACUCUAUCUUCUUGCCCCAAGACCCGUUCCGGACCUCGUGACCACGGGCGCGGAACGGGCCCUGUCUGGAAUUAAAAAAUUUAAAAUGUGAAACUUUUUACCUUUAUUUUAAAAAAAUUAAUUUUAAUAAUCAUAUAUCUAAUAUAAUAUGAUUUAAAUUAAUAAAAUUUUUUUUUUUAUAAAAAAACCCCGGGUUUCGCCCUGCCUCGAGACCCGUCCCGGAAUAUGACCGGGGCAACGAGGCAAAAAAUGAAAAACGGGGCAGAAUAUCUGUCCCACACUCGGUUACCACUGGGGCGACCCGUCCCGUUUUCACCCUUAGUGUGCAUAAGGUGUCAACUAAAGCUCGACUCGGAUUAAAGUUUAAACUUUGAUUUUUCAAGCUCGGCUUGAUGGACUUGUUAAGUGUUUUUUAAUAAUAAAAUAAAAUAUUAAUAUUAAUUGAUAAAAUCUAGGGUGUCAAUUAAAACUCAAGCUCGAUAAGCUCAUCGAGACGAGCUCGAACUUUGACUUUUCGAGCUCGUCUCGUUAAGAGUUUUUUAAUAAUUAAAUAAAAUAUAGAUAUUAAGAGUUUUAGAUAUUAAUUGAUAAAUACCAUUAAAUAAAUUAAUUAUAAAAAAACUUAAAUAAAAACCUAAAUAAAAAAAUAGAUAUAUAGAUAUUUUUUAGAUUUUAAUUUUUUUUUUCUAAACCAAGCCCGAGCCUGGACAAUGCCUUAAUGAGCUGAGUCCGAGCUCGACUAAACCAGGCUCGACGAGCUCGAGCCUGGACAAUUCUUUAACGAGCGGAGCCCGAAACUGAACAAUUCCUUAACGAGUCCAGCUCUAUAAGCAAAAACUCGGCUCGUUUGACAUUCUAAUAAAAACUACUGAAUAAAUCAUAAAAAACUCAAAUAAAACCUAAAUCUAAAAUAUUCAGAUUUUUUUAAAAUUUUUCUUUCAAUUUGCGUAAGUUAAAUUUCGAGUUAAAACCCGAGACCGAGCUUGCGAUUUUAUUGCCAAGCCGAGCCUGAGCUCGCCAGGGUCGGCGAGCUCGAAUCGAAGUCCGAGCAUGAAUCUGAACAAUUUCUUAAAGAACCCAGCCCAAAACCGAUUUUAUGACCCGCGUCACUACGUGUGCAUAUCGUUUGGGGGCCUUAUGAGUUAUGACCCAUUUAAUAAAAAAAAGUUUUAUAUUAUUAUCCUUACGGACUGACCGGCCGUACAAUACCUACGCCACAGCCCACAUGGAUCCAACGAAUUAUUUAUAAAAUGGACAGACGGUGCAGUGAUUAGGGUAAGAUGACGGAAUCUAGAUUCCGAUGAUGGAUAACGAUGGAUAAUUGCAGCUACAGAUUUAUUACAAUCGAUGCAUGGUAAUUAGGGUUUGAGCUAGAUAAUACGACCGAAAUCAAUCACCAAGGCGGCCGGCCGGCGGACUAACAGCUUCAUUUAUGCCAGAACUCAGCUUUCUUCACCUUGGAGAUGCUCUCUAGUACACCCACCGGCGAGAUAUACCCCGUCACCGUGACCCUUUUCGCCUCCAGAUCUACGUCGAACGAUUUCACUCCUGUAACAUAAAAUUGAUCACAGAAUCUUAAAAUCUGACUCAAAUUUUCACUAAGAUAUAUAACCAGUAUUUACGUACCUUCUAUUUUGGCUAAGUGUUUCUUGAUCUUUCCGGCGCAACCCUUGCAAUGGAUGGAGACCCUCAAGACGACAACUUGUAUCUCCUUCUCGCCGGACUGGAGCAUCGGAAGAGGUAGAGGAGUAGUAGUAGUGGUGGUGGGAGGAAGAGAGGAAGACGGAACGACCUUUUUGUUCAUCUUCUCAGGGAGAGAUCUUCUCCGGGAUUCAAGCAAGCGGGUGUAAGCUGUGUAGCUGUUGAAACCAGACAACACUGCAUGGUCUAUCAACGUUCGAUCGGGUCUUCUCGGAACCACAGCUGACCGAGUGCUUGUCGGCACGCAUACGGCGGAAAAGGCGGAAUCCGAUCUGCAGAGGAACCCGUGCAUGCUCUUCGUCUUCAUUCUGGAAUCCUGGCUUAGCUCCGGGCUCCGUCGUCUGUGUUGGGCAUUAAAAAGAGAUGGAGAUUAGUUGAGUUCGAAUCCACGUACGUUAGAAGAAGAGACAGGCGUGGUAGCUAGGGUUUUAAAGACAGCGGAAAAGACAGGAAUUAUGUUAUCACAUGAGCUUUGGACAAGGUGACGUUGUAUAUUCCGUCCAUCUAUGAUUCUCAGAUCAUGUAAUGUGUGUUCGGAACUCGCAUGCUAAGAUCGAUCUAUCUGUCAACAUGCAUGCUUACAUGUGGUGCUCACAGUUCAGCCUGUUUGUUUAUAUAUGCAACUGAAUUUGAGUUUUUGACCGUUGACGCUGUUUCAGUGAUGGACCGUGAUAAUCGAUCUUAAACACUUCCGUCAGACCACCACACACAUAGUCAGACACUUGGACUAACAUGGACUAGGAUAAUCGAUCUUAAAUAAUUCCGCCAUACUACCACACUCGUAGGUAGACACGUGGAUGAAUCUAUCGACUUCAUCUUCUCCGAUCGGAUGGAUACUGCAAGUCCGUAACAACUAACAACUCACCACCAAUUCCACGAUGGUUAUCUCCACAUUUGUCCAACAACCACUCUCACUCUCCGAUAUUCGUCGAUUAAUCCUAACGCCUCCCCGUCGAAUAACCGCCGGAAUCUCAUGUUUUUCACCGGGAAAAGGUGAAACUACUGAGCCAUCGUCCACCGCCGGAACGAGGAGGAAGUUGGUCGGGUUAGGGAUCGGAAUAAUAGCAUCUUCGUUCGUCACUUUACAAGACGCUAAUGCCACGAGAGUAGAGUACUACGCCACUGUCGGCGAACCCUCUUGCGAACUCACCUUCGCGAAAUCCGGUCUCGGGUACUGCGACACGAAAGCAGGUACCGGAGUCGAACCACCCAUCGGAGAAUUAAUCAAUGUGAGUGAGUUGAGUUACUUAACGGCGUAUUUUUGUAAUUUGAUUCACACCCAUGCGCGCUCUUACUUUCAGAUUCACUAUACGGCAAGAUUUGCAGACGGAACGGUGUUUGAUAGUAGCUACAAGCGUGGAAGACCACUGACGAUGCGUAUAGGCGUCGGAAAGGUCCUCCCCGGACUGGAUCAGGGAAUAAUGGGUGGCGCCGACGUACCACCCAUGUUUGUCGGUAUACUGUUAGAUCUUGUGCAGCAUAUUUUUUUUGGUAUGUUAUUACUCCGGUUGAUAUAUUCCUUUUUUCGCAGGUGGUAAACGUAGACUUCAGAUUCCACCUAAGUUAGCAUACGGACCAGAACCUGCCGGAUGCUUCUCAGGUAAGUUCUCCGGUCGAUCAUCAUCGGCUUAAGAUAACGUUGAUAAAAUAAUAAGAGGAUAAAAGGGUUAAUUGCAAAAAUAUUUUAAACUGGAUUUUUCAUUUACAAACAGUCCUUCUGUUUUAUGAAAGAAAAAAAAUCAAAUUACUAAUCAUUUUUUAAUCAUCUGAUUAACUUAUUCUGAUACCAUGAUCUUUGUGUUUAAUCACUUGCAGGUGAUUGUAACAUACCUGCAAAUGCCACUCUCUUCUAUGAUAUUCUCUUCGUCGGAAUUUACAAAUAAUAAAUAAACAUUAUAAAACAAUGCAAAGAAAAUAUCCAAGAGUUCUGGAAUCCAAAGUUUCAUAUUUAAACUAGAGUAAUUAUCAAGUAUAUCGAGGUUAAAAUGUAUGAAAUUAAUCUUCUUCAUUAGAUCGAUUUUUCGUCAUAUAUGUAUUAAUGUCUUUUGCAUUAUAUUAUUUUACGUCGUACAUGUAUAUAUGUAUUAGUGUCUUUUGCAGUAUAUUAAUUUAGUUAUUGAAUUAAAUAUUAAUAAACACAAUUUGAUAACGCACGAUGGUACAUUCAAGGUACGACGCAAAAUUAACAUGUCAAAAAAGAAAAAUAGAGGGACGUUUAGUAAAAAAAUGAAAAAAAUAAAUUGUGGUCCGAUCCAGUAAGUUAAUGGGCUUGUAAUAUAGUCGUGGAUUUUUGGGGGAAAAAGAGAGGCAAAACCCUAGGAAAUCUUAACCGAUCCUCCUCCCUCGCUUCCACUCUCGAAUAUCGGAUUCCAGUUCUGUUCCCGGUCCGUUGGUUGGUGGUUGUUACAGUGGAAUAGCGAGAGAAGGACGGUGGAGCUGAUCAUCGGCGAUUCAUUUUGUUUUUGUUUGUUUUUGUUUUGUUUGUUUUGAUCAGAUGUUGUGGGUUUAGUUUCGUUCGGGAUUUCUCCUUUCUAAUAUUUUCUUGUUGUUUUUGUGUAAUUCUGGAUCGAUAGAGUUCGGAAACUUCCGGCUAUCCUUUUGAUAUUUGAUCCGCUUUCCUGUGGUGUUGGUUUUGCGUUUCACUGGCUAUACAUCAUCGGUACGAUCUCGUUUUCGAUUCGUUUUUCGUGUUUUUGAUUGUUCGGAAAUCAGAUAACUGGUGAUAUAGCUCAUUGUUUUUUCUGUCUAUUGAAUGCAGGAUUCUGUUGUGUUUUUUUGUGUUGAUUCUAAUUUUAGAGGAAUGUCUUCGUCACCAAAGACACCUUAUCCUACUCUCAAGAACAAGUCUAUUGAUCAAUGGAAGGUCACCGAGUUGAAGGAGGAGCUCAGGAGGCGUAAGGUUUCGACAAAGGGUUUGAAGGAGGAUCUGAUCAGCCGAUUGCGUGAUUGCAUAAAUGAGGAUUUGGAAAUAUCAAAAAAAGAGAUUGAUUUGUUGAAAAAUGUUUCUGAUGAUGAUACAGUCAAAGAUAAUAAGUUAAUCAAAGAAGAUCAGACUGAGAAUCAAAAUAUAAAUGCUGAGAUUGAUUUUAUUGUUGUUGAUAAUGAGGAAAGCAAAAACACUGCCAUAGCUGAUCAAGAGGACAAUGAUCUUGUUGAGAAUAUUGUUGCCACUGCUGAUCUGAAUGUGCCUCUUGAGGACAAGAGCCCUCCUUCAAUUCCCGUAGAAUCUAAUGAGGACAAUGAGAUAAUGCAGGGUGGGGAAAAAUCACAGCAUGAUGAAGAUAGUGAUGAGAAAAAAGAGAAAGAGAUCGAUGAAAAAAGUGAUAAAAUAAUAAAUUACAACGAGAAUGACAAAACGAACAAGGAUUUGGAACCUCUUUCUGGAGAAUCUGGAGAUAUUGAUCUCAAUCAGUCGGAGCAAAAUAGCCAGGUAUCUGAGGUUAAGACUGAUUUAGGUUUUCCAGUUACAUGUGACUCCAUUUCUAUUGAUUCUGUCUCAAUUAAUGAAACGAAUAAACUAAAGGAUAAUUUAAAUGCUGCUAAUUUCCAUCUAGAACCAAAAGUUGUUAAGACAGAGAGUGUGCAACCGUCAUCCGCUGACGUUGCCCCCAUUGUUGGUGAUUUGCAUCCAGAUAGGGAUUAUUCAGAAAAAUUAAACUUAGAUAGGAGUUCUGGUGACGAAUCGAUGGAGGAGUAUAUGCCUGAGACUAAGCAAAUACUGUCCAAUAUAAAUCCUGAAAUAAAUGAGGAUGUGGUUAAUAUGGAUGAGAUAGAUUUGAAAGAGCCUUCACAAUCUAUUGACGUGUCUGGUGGGUUAUCAUCUAUUCUCAAAAAGGAUGACGCGAAGGAAGAAAACAAGACAUGUAUUAAAGUUGUGAAAAGGAAAUCUCAAGGUAUUUCCUAUCUACUGACUACUUUAGUAUAAAAUCUUUUUGAAAAAAAUCACAUUUUAAUACAUGACCUUGUAGGCUUGUAUCCUCACAUUCAGUAUUUACUAUGAGUCAGAGAAGUAUUCACUAUUUUAAUGAAAAAUGUGCAUUUGAAAGCGAUAAUGUUGUUAUGAUAAUACUUUUAAAUUUAAGGAAUAUAAGAUAAAAGUAUAAAUCAUUGUAGUAGUACUGUAGUAGAAAAUUUAGAGAUGUUAAAUAAGUUAUUAGUACAUUGCUACAUUUAUGAUUUAAUAUUUGUUGUUGUAAAGAAUGAAGAGUAAUUAAAAAUUAAAAAUCAAAGAGUCAUAUUUACAAUCCAUCAAUCAAUUGUGAGAAUAAAACAUAGACUGGUAAUGUCUGUAAUUAAUUAUGUCAUGUCAACAUCUUAUAAUAAACAGUCUUGCUAAAUGACAGCAUCUCUUUUUCAAUCUUACUAAAUUGAUUGAAUGAACUGUGUAUGCAAUGCUCAUUUUACAGGCAUAUUUUUCUUUCAUCUAUCCACUUUCUUUAACAUUGCACCAUUAGUCCAUUACCCUAUGUCGUUCAUUUAAACGAAACUCCUGUAUACUUUUAUACAUUUUGAAUUCUGAAAUAAGAGUUUAUUAAUAUUUAUUAUUUAUUAUUCAAUAUGAAAAUAUUAUCUGAAAUGUCUGAAUGUAUAAUUUUUGAUAUGAAAAUAUGGGAAAUUUUUAGCCAAAGAAUCUGUUCGAACUAGUGUCUCUUCAAAGAGGCAUCGUUCUUGGAAAAUCGAAACAGAGACAGAUUCUAAACAACCGCUUUCAAUCCUGACUUCGUCUACUACAUCAAAUAACUUGUGUCGUCCAAUCCCAAAGCGCAUCUUUAGGCCAUCUGAUGCUAUGCUUAAUGGGGAUCUUCAAAAGAUUCGAAAAGGCAAGCUUCCAUGUUCCAAAUUUUUCUUUCAAUAAUAGUAGGGAAUUUUUUAGUCAUAUUAUGAUCUCUCUCUCUUUAUUUUUGCAGUACCACCUUCGCAGAAGCCUCCCACAAAUUCACUGAGAAUAGAUAAUUUCUUGCGCCCCUUUACACUGAAAGCUGUUCAAGAGCUUUUGGGAAAGACCGGGACUGUCUGCAGUUUUUGGAUGGAUAAUAUCAAGACCCACUGCUAUGUUACGGUAGGCAUUUUUUAUUCACAUUUUUUGAUUUUAAACAUCCAUAAUGUAUUACCAUUUCUUCUUUUUUUUGCUAUUUUCUCUAUUUAUAUAUCUUUUUCCAGAUGGGAAAAUCGUCUUUCUUUUUAUGACAGAAACAUACCCUUGAAUGCCUGAUAAUCUGAUAUGGUCUGAAAUAUAUCUUUUAAAAUCACUGGUCACAAAAGGAACAUUGCUUUUCUAUUAAUGUUGGUUUGCACAUUGCAAAUGUGGUAAUUGUUGUAACACACCUGAAUAACCUGACUCUUUGAAUUAGAAAUAAUUUUUAGCAGAUAAGAUUUAUCUUAUUGCAUUCCUAACUAAAGUUAACAGAAAUAUUGAUAUUUGUAUUUUAAUCUAUUUGUUGAGCAAAUAUAUAUAUUUUUUAAAUUAACUACCAAUAUUUGUUUCUUGAAUUUUAAGAUCAAUUACUUUUCUGCAUGUAUAACCCAACUUGAAUAGGCGAUUUUGAUUUUUUAAUUUUUGAACUAUUUUUACCAGCCGGUAUAGUUUGCUUCUGUUGAUUUUUCUUGAACUCCUAUUUUAACUUUGAAUUAUUCUGAUUUUACUUUGUCCAAUGUGUAGGGUUUUGGGUCUUAUUUGCUACUGUAUUUUUUCCUAUUAAAAUAAAGAACCUGUAUUGUUUUGCAUGUCUUUGCUAUCUUUAC
rnacentral:lncRNA from 1 species